rnacentral:lncRNA from 1 species
GGAGCUGAGGCAGCAGCAGCAGCAGCCGGGGUGGCACGGCGGCGACCACGCCGCCGCGGCGGGCGGCAACGGCAAGAGGGCCAAGGUGAUGCACCUCCUGCUCUGGGGACCCAAGUGAUCGAUGUAUCCGAUCCGCUUAUCCGGCAACCUCUCGUGGCGCUCCGGCGAGUGUUUGCGGCGGCGGCUCGGCUCCGGCCGGCCGGCCGUGUACCAUGGCCGGACUGUAUUGUAAAUUUGUACCAUGGCCGGACUGUAUUGUAAAUUUGUACCAUGGUACUAGCUAGUACUAGUUGCUCCCUUGUCUUGCACCGGCCUCUUGCUGUUUGCUCAGACUGCUCGUCGCGUCGGUCAGUUUGGGUGUCAACUGCUGGAAGCUAUGGCUAGUAAGCUUUCUGUAAAAUAUACCAAGUCUGAGUGGUGUUUCUAGGUGUGAUUUAAAUUUGGAGAAGCAGAUUAUACCCCUGUAAUCUUAAAUUUGCCUGGUUGUGCCUGUGAAAUUCAGUUUUCCGACGCUACAUGCUUUCCCUUUUGGUCUUUUUUUGUGUGAGGGUUGCUACUUGCAAGUAGUUCAAAGUCCCAGAUCGGGAAGGUUAAUCAGCUCUUUUGCUUGAAGUUUUGUUGAAUCCUGAUGCGGUGCUAACAUCAAUUUUGCUGAGAACUGUGCGCUGUUUUGCAGCGGAGUUUUAUCUUGAAACUGGCGCACAGAGUUUGGAGUGCUUCGCUUCUUCGCAUCAUGGAAGCCAUGGAUCAACCUAGUUUCUCUUUUAGGUUGGCCUACCUGGUUUAGCGUGAAAGAAUCUUGAAAAGAGAACGUGAACAAGAAAAAGAAAGGAAUUUAAAUACUAAGGAAAGGAGAGAAAAGGGAAAGUGAACAGAAAAGGGACUUCAAUUAUAUCCAUAAAAGGUGAGAAGAUGAAGAAAAAAAAAUGUGAAUGCCUAUGUGCUAUCUUGUCCACGUAUGACUUGAGCAGCUGUGGAUUCUUAUCCGGAUGUGUCUCGUCUCUCUUUUUUUAUGGAACAAGAGGGGAUAUGUCCUCUACUGAUUAUAUAUUGAUAAAAGGAAUAGGAAAAAGUCUUACAACCCAGAACUUAAGAAACAAAGAAAGAAAAAAAAGAUCAUAAAUGUAAUUGAUCUUUAUAUUUAGCUAAAAAAAUAAUUGAUCUUCCUACUGAAAAAUGCAAGCUGCGGUAGCUAGAGAAGAAGAUUUCAGAAUUUGCCAUCAAAUUCACACGUCUCAUAUGAUUUUCAUGCAAUGCCGUACCGUAUAUUCUCUCCUUUCUAUGCCAUCUCAUAUUCUCUUGUCACUCGGCUUAUAGGCUAAUGGUGCUCACGGGAUUAGGCUCCAAUAAUUCGAGCAAGAUUGGCCAUCCAUUUUCUCUUAAAUGCGUGUCGUUGGCAUGCACCCUGAGCUGAGCUCCCUCCACCUCCACAAGAUGAAACAUGAAAGCGCCACAUAGAGGGGUGGGUGAGGGUGACCAGGCAACGAGUUGGUGUAGAUCCGAAUGCUUGGUUUGGAUUGAGCGGGAAUGGAAUUCCGUGAGAUCAGGGGCCAUAUGAAAAAGAAAGAAAAGGAAUGCGGGGAAGGAUACAAUGGCAUGUUUUGUAACCAAUUUACGUGUGGCCAAUUCUGAAAGGCUUGCAAAUUUGAUGGAAAAUCUUGUGAGAUGUGUAGAAAAAAGAAAUUCACAGUUAUUUAAACCUGAGUACCGGGGGAAAAAGAAGAACAUUUGAUAGAAGAACAAGAGAAUGAGAUCCCUUCAAACAACCUUUUUGUUGGUAAGAUUUUAAACUUCCUUGUACAUGGGAACUAAAGGUGAUGCUUAAAAGAGAACUGUGUAGUGAACUAGUGAUCACAUUAUUAGUGCACUGUAAGUGAGAUCGUCGGAGGAGGACAAUUGUAUUCUUCGAUUAAAAAGAAAAAUGCUGAAACCUUGGCAUGAAACCAAAAAGGAGAGAUGGAAGGAGAGAAGGGAAAAAAAAGUUACAAGACAAGCUAGGAGUAUGACGGAAUCUACAACAACGUUCAUAUGUGUUUUGCACUCUAGCUAUUCAACCAAGUACUUAACUGAUGAGGCCAUUUCUCUAUCGUAGUCAUAACCAAUUCGUGGGGAGUACCGCGCCUAGUAUAUUGGUACAUUGGAUAUGAUCCGAAUUCUAACGCGUAUCUUGUGGGGACGCUUGGAGGGCUCACGGUUUAGGUUAUGUGAUUAGCAAAUUUGUCUCCGUAAUUAACUGCAGUCAAGCCAUAUGGGAAGAGAAAAAGAUUCAUUGUAUUUACUGUGUUAUAACUCUCUUAUUAUAUUGAAGAUCGUUGAUUGGAUCCCGUGGUUUUUUUCCGCGAGGCACGUAAAAAUUGUGUGUCGUGUUCGAUAUUAUUUUUGCUUUAUUUGCUAACAGCUUACUUGGCGCUCGAUCCCCUUGCUUUAUAUGCUAACAGCUUACUUGGCGCUCGAUCCUUUGGGGACAUCGAUCACCAGCUAGCUCAUCUACAGCGCUAUCCUAUUCCUCAUCUCGGCUGGUGUCGAUGACGAACUUCCUCCAGAUGAGCUAGCUGAGCGCCAAGUAACUGGGUUAGUUGACGGGGGCGGCGUAAGCCGCCGAGCUCUGAGACUGCUCGGCGCCAUGGCACGGCAGCCCUGCAGGUCUACGGCGGCCUGCAGGACGAACCUGUUCUGCCGGCGAGCAUGCCUGUCCAGAUCACACCGAGCGAGAACGCCGCGCCGGCGCGCCGCCGAGAUCGGCGACACCCCACGCGAUCGAUCGCUUGGAUCUCUCACUGAUCGAUCACUUGAUUAUUACUUGAUCCGGACGACCUGACCGCCUCCGACCAGGCGACGCCGCACCGAGCUUUUCUCAGACUUGAAUCGCCCGCGCCGUGACGCCGAGGGCCGAGACACGCGACGGAAGUGAGGGGAAAAAAUCGGGCAAGACCACGUACGUCAACAAGAUAUUUCCGGCCGCUCGACCGGCGGCCACUCGUCGAUCGCGCGGCACUUUUUUUUUUUUUUUGCUGUCUCUUAUCCACAGCUGCGGCACCGGAGAUCCGUCACGUCUCGCUAUUAGACCUACUCGAGCUUCGCCGCUUUAUAUAACUGACCAGCUUGGUGUCUGGAGUAGCUGGUGACAGAAGCAAGAACCCGAUCGAGAGAGGCGCGUGGCGUGCUAGACUGCUAGUGCUGCGGUGGUGCAGUAGCAGCAGCGGCAGCUAGCAGCUAGCAGCCAGCAGCCAUGAGCAGCGGCGCCCGCGAGAGCAGGUGGCCGGAGUUCGCCGCCCUCGGCCGCGCGCUGAUGGCGCGCGACGCCUCCGUGCCGGGGCGGGAGCUGCGGCAGCAGCAGCAGCAGCAGCCGGGGUGCCGCGGCGACCACGCCGCCGCGGCGGGCGGCAACGGCAAGAGGGCCAAGGUGAUGCACCUCCUGCUCUGGGGACCCAAGUGAUCGAUGUAUCCAGUAUCCACUUAUCCGGCAACCUCUCGUGGCGCUCCGGCGAGUGUUUCCGGCGGCGGCUCGGCUCCGGCCGGCCGGCCGGCGGCCGGAGUGUCCUGUACCAUUGAACUACUACUACUUAUUGUACUUGUUCCUUUUCUUGCACCACUUUGCUGUUUGCUCAGACUGAUCGCCGUCGGUCAGUUUGGGUCUCAGUUGUCAACUGAUGGAAGCUACUAUAGCUAAAAAGCUUUCUGUAACAUACCAAGUCUGAGUGGUGUUUCUAGUUAAGGUUUGGAGCAGCAGAUUGUACCCCUGUAAUCUAAGAACGCGUGCUCGUGUUGUUGUGUGCCUGUGAAAUUUGGUUUUCCUACGCUUUUCUGUGCAGUCAAAUAACUCAUCCAGCUCACUACUUUCCCUUUUUGGGGUUUUCAGUUUUUGUGUGAGAUUUGCUAGUGGUUCAAAGUCCCAGGUCGGAAAAGUUAGCUACUCCGUCCGUUUCAAAUUGCAGGUCGUUUUAGUUUUUCUAAGCAUCUACUUAUACACUAUAUCUAAAUGCAUAGCAAAAAUUAUGCAUCUAAAAAAGCUAAAACGAACUACAAUUUGAAACGGAGGGAGCAGCUCUUUUGCUCUAAGUUAUGUUGAAUCCUGAUGUACUGCAUAAAUUUUACUGAGGAUUCGAGUUGUUUGCGGCAGAGUUUUAUCUUGGAACUGACAGAGUUUGGGUGCUUUGCUUCUUCGUUGCAUGGAUCCACCUGAUUUCUCUUUUAGCUUGGCAUAGCUGGUUUAGCGUAAAAGAAUCUUGAAAAGCGAAAGUGAACAGAAAAGAAGGAAUUUAAAUACUAAGGAAAGGAGAGAAAAGGGAAAGUGAACAGAAAACGACUUCAAGUAUAUUCAUAAAAGGGGAGAAGAAGACCAAAAAAAUUGUGAAUACCUAUGGGCUAUCUUGUGUCCACAAAUGACUUGAGCAGCAGAGAUGUUUACAAAGUCCAACGAGAUUUUUUUUUUGAUAAACCAAGUCCAACGAAUUAGUACAUGCUUGGAGCAUGACGCGGCUCGUCUCUCUUAAAACCGCUUCAAUAACUGAUCUUUCUACUGAAAAAUGCAAGCUGCGGUAGCUGGAGAAGAAGAUUUCAGAAUCUGCCAUCAAAUUCACACGUCUCAUCUUUCUCUCCUUUUUAUUCCAUCUCCUAUAUUCUCUUGUCACUUGGCUUAGGCUAAUGGUGUUGAAAUAAUGGGCCUAGCCCAUAAGUAAUUUCAGAAUUUCAAAUAAAUCUCAAAGGCCCAUGUGGGUAAGAGGUGGAGUGGUGCAAGUCUUUAGUCCCACAUUACUAGUGGAGGGGAGGGAUGACCAACUUAAAUAUGGAAGUUGUCUCCACUCCUCCAAGCUAUGUGUGUGGGGAGGGAAGGAGAGCUCCACACGCACGCGCUUGCUCGCCACGCCUCGACGGGCCGGGUCGGGCGAAGGGCGCGGGCACGCGGCACCUGCGUGAACAGUCCGUCGAAAUCCAGCCCCUCGCCUCAGGGGCGCGGCUUCCUUUUGCCGUUUUAUUUUUUGGUUACUUGGUCAUCCUAACCGGUUGAUCGCGACGAGAAUCGUGGGCUCUCCUAUAUAUGCGACCUACCGGCCUCUACCAAAAAAAAGAGAUCUAUUCGAGCUAGGGUUUUUGCCUCCUCUCGCUGCUGCGCCGCCACCGUAGUCUACUCCAUCCCGAUUGUCGGCGUGCACCAGUGAUUGGGAGAGCAGGUCUCCGGAACCGUCGUCUUCAGCGAUCCUGCACCGGGAGAGGGCGAAUAAGGUUUUUGGGAAGCGCUCUGCGCGACUGCUCGAUCGCUUCCUCCGCUUCGUCAAGUUCUUCGUCGACUCCUUCACCACGGCUCGUCUACCUCUUCGUCGCUCGGGCCUCACUCGUCGUCGCGAACAACGUCAGGCUGCUGAUUGUCGUCGCCUGCUGUACCCGGUAGUCGUCCAGGAGCCGGUCUUCAUCAAGAAAGAAACGUACGAUCUCUUAACUCAAAUUAUGUCUUCCAUACUAGCUAUUAUGAUCUGUUGCAGUCUGAUAGCACUGGAUAGUAUGGUAGAAUGUGUGAUUCUAUUUGCAAUGAUAGACUUGUCUAGAUCUUGCGUAGACAUGUCUAGUUUAAUCUGCAGUCUGUUCAUCGUAUUCAUGAUUUAUUUCUGGAUUAAAUUAAGACUAAAAGUGCUUAUAUAUCCAACAAAUGGUGCUCACGGGAUUAGGCUCCAAUAAUUCGAGCAAGUUUGGCCAACCAUUUUCUCUUUGAAUGCGUGUCGUCGUUGGCAUGCACCCUGAGCUGAGCUCCCUUCACAUGAAAGCGCUAGAUAGAGGGGUGGGUGACCAGGCAAUGAGUCGGUGUAGAUCCGAAUGCUUGGUUCGGAUUGAGCUGCCAUAUAAUUCCGUGAGAAGGGUCCAGCCAUAUGAAAAGGAAAGAAAAUGGAGUGGCAUGUUUUUGAAGCAAUUCACGCGUGGAAAUUCCGAAAGGCCUGUAAAUUCGAUGGAAAAUCUUGUGAGAUGUGCAGAAAAAAUUCCAUGUGUAUUUAAACCCAGGAAAAAAACAGAACAUUUGAUAGAAGAACAAGAAAUGUUCUGUUUUGGUGGUAAAUUUUUAAAUUUCCUUGUACAUGGGAACUAAAGGUGAUGCUUAAAGGAGAACUGUGUAGUGAUCACAUUAUUAGUGCACUAUAAGCGAGAUCAUCGGAGGAUAAAAUUGUAUUCUUUAAUUAAAAAGAAAAAUGCUGACAACUUGGUAGGAGUAUGAACAAAUCAAAUCUACAACAAGACAUUCAUUUGUGCUCUACACGCCAAUACUUAACUGCUAAGGCUUACUUGGCGCUCGAACCAGCUAGCUCAUAAUUUUAUCCCCAACGAACCGAGCGCCAAGUAACUGGGUUCGUUCUCGUCGGCGUGAGCUUCCCAGCUCUGAGACUGCUCGGCGCCAUGGCACGGCAGCCCUGCAGGGCUACGGCCGCCUGCAGGACGAACCUGUUCUACCGGCGAGCGUGCCGAUCCAGAGCACACCGAAAAGUCCCCGUUCGCGGCCGCACCGGCAGACAAUCCUUGCUUGAGCCGCGCCCCGGCAGCUCGAGCUCGCCGUCAGCUGCGCGCGUUCGGCCCCGUCCCCGGUCACCCGGCGGCCUGCGCUGCUCCGAACGCCGCCGGAAUUUUGUCCGGUACCGGUCGAGCAUCAACGCAAUCGGAAGAGCCUGCCGUCGCCGGCGGUGAGACUGCUGGCGCCCUCCGGCAGCGCCAUCGCGGCGACGAGACGGGGCAAACGACCAAGUCAGAUUGUUUCUCUCGCGAAUCUGAGCCGCACAGGUACGAUCGGACGGUGGUUACGGGCCCCAGGGGUGGACGGUAAAUGAAAUACCGUCCACGCCCCUGACCUGGCGGGGGGCCGCUGCCCGGGCGCCUGCUCACCCUUCUCCACGACGCGAGCGUGGACAGCACUCCUCGCCGGCUUCUGGCGGCUUCGCGACGCCGUCGACGUCGUGGAUGCUACCGCCGACUCGAGCUGUCGAGUGCCUGAAGCUGCUCGGCGCCCGAAAAGCUUCAAGAGCGCUCGCCGCAGCGAGGUGUGCUGCGCCUCAGUGGCUGUAACACCCACCAAACAUCUAUGAAGGCGAAGCAGCGGCGACCUCGAGCAUGGCCGAGCUGACGGCCAUCAGUGGCAAGGGGUGGACGGUAAAUGAAAUACCGUCCACCCCCGAGCUGGGCGGCAGCUCGAUGAGCAUGAUCGCCUCCUCUGCUCCGCGCCACGCUUGCAGGGUCGCCGCGUUCUCGCCGGUAGUGGCUCGCGUAUCUGCCCUGCUGGACAGUGCCGUGAUGCGGUACUACUGCAUCAAUUUUACUGAGAACUUUGCAUUUCUUGCGGCUGAGUUUGGUGGUAAAUUUUUAAAUUUCCUUGUACAUGGAAACUAAAGGUGAUGCUUAAAAGAGAACUGUGUAGUGAUCACAUUAUGAGUACACCAUAAGGGAGAUCAUCUGAGGAUAAAAUGUAGUAUUCUUCAGUUAAAAAGAAGAAUGCUGACAACUUGGCAUGAAACCAAAAAAAAGAACAGAGAGAAGGAAAAAACAAUUACAAGAUAUGCUAGGAGUAUGAACAAAUCAAAUCUACAAACAACAUUCAUGUGUGUUCUGCACUCUAGCUAUUGAGCCAAGCACUUAACUGAAGAGGCUUACUUGGCGCUCCAUCGUCUUCAGCUAGCUCAUCUCUAGCGCUAUCCUCUUCCUCAUCUCGGCGCUCCGCGCGUCGGUGGUGUCGAUGACGAACUUCCUCCAGAACCAGUGCUUCUUCCAGACGUGCGCCAUCUCCUCGACGGGCACGUUCUUGGUCUCCGGGAGCAGCAUGGCGAUGAAGAGCGUCAUGAGCAGCACCCACGCGCCGAAGAAGUAGAAGAGCCCGAACCGGAGGUGGCAGAGCAGCGUCAGGAAGAUCUGCCCGAUGAAGGCCGUGAAGAACAUGUUGACGGCCACCGUCACGCUCAUCGCCGGCGACCGCACCGCCAGCGGGUAGAUCUCGCUCGGGAUCAGCCACCCCAUCGGCCCCCAGGACCACGCGAACCCCGCCACGUACACGCACACGAACAGCACGAUGCACAUCGCGUACUGCUCCGAGAUGGCCCCCGUCCCGCUCAUCCCGAACUGCAGCCCGAUGAACGUCCCCACCAGGAUCUGCAUUAUCCCAAGAAUUUAUAUAUAUAUUAUAUAUACAUAUAUACAAACCUUGUUGAGUUGUGUCAUUCCUUCGUACCUGGGAGAUGAUCAUCUGCGUGCCGCCCUGGAGGAAGAGGGCGCGGCGGCCGACCUUGUCGGCGGUCAUGAUGGCGACGAAGGUGGAGAAGACGUUGACGAGGCCAGUGAUGACGGAGGAUACGAGGGAGGCGUUCUGCUUGAACCCCACCGUCUUGAACAGCACGGGCGCGUAGAACAUGAUCACGUUGAUGCCGGUGAGCUGCUGGAAGAAGGGGACGAGCAGCGAGAAUGUCAGCUGGGGCUUGUACUUGCCGCCGAACAGGAGCUCCCGCCACGGGUUCUCCACGGCCUUGGCGUCCUCGCUCGCCGCCGACAGGUCGUCGAACUCCUCGCGGACGUCGCCGACGCCCCUGAUCUGGAGCAGCGUCUUGCGCGCCGUCGCCGUGUCGCCGCGCUGGAUCAGCGAGGUCGGCGUGUCCGGGAUGGCCAGCGCGCCCAGCGCGAUGACGCCGGCCGGGACGGAGCCGAACGCCACGGCGAUGCGCCACCCCCACCCGCCGGGGAUCUUGGACGUGAAGUAGUUGGUCAUGUUCGCCAACAGGAUCCCCACCGUGAUCAUGAACUGGAAGAGGAUGUUGAGCAUCCCGCGUUGCUGCGCGGGGGCCAUCUCCGAGAUGUAGAGCGGGGACGCGUGGAUGGAGAGCCCAACGCCGGCGCCGACGAGGAUCCGGCCGGUGAGCAGCAUCGGGAAGUUGACGGACACGCCGCCGAGGCACGCGCCGAAGACGUACGCGGACGCGGCGGCGAACAGGGUCCACUUCCGGCCGAAGGAUCGGGUCAUGGGCCCGGCGAAGAAGGCGGCGAUCAUCGCGGAGAGGAAGAGGGACGAGCAGAAGAGCGUCAGGAGCUGGCUGUCGAACUUGCAGUACUGGUUCACGGUCACCUGGUGCUUCAUCUCCUCGUAGAUGGACGGGAAGAACUUGAUCAGGAACGGCUCCGUCGACGUCAACCCGGCUUCAUCACGAUCACGGCGGCGGCGGCGGCGACGACAACACAAAGCAAGCAAACAAGACCCCUCGUGUCAGUCGUCAGAGCAAGCCCCUGAUUUGGCAUUUUGGCUCAACAGCCUGUGUAUAUAUCUAUGGUAGUGCUCAGCUCACAGGUGAGGCCGAUGUCAUAGCCGAAGAUGCAGCCGGCAACGGAGGCGAUGAGGCAGGAGAAGACGACGAUGCCGGUGACCUCGCCGGGGUACGUCUUGUACCUCGUGUGGUGGUGCACGAUCACCGCUCCCGGCAUUGUGCCCGGCGCCGGCGGCGAGGGAACCAACCAACCGGUCACUUACAGGCCGGUGAUCUCGACGGGAACGAAGGGGGUGAUCGGAGGAGGAGGUGGCGAGCCCCUCCUGUUCGUCCUUGUUGCGCGGCGGGGGAAGGAUGCGUCGAGGCGGGAGCGGCGAGCGCUUAAACCGGUGGAAGGGCUCGGCGAGUGGUGCGGCGGUCCCGUCCUAAAUCGUAGGACGCGUGCUGGUCGAUCGUCGUAUGCGAGUCGUGUGUGUCACCCAGGAACGUCGUCUCCAUGGUUUCAAGGUCAACCACGGCUUUGAAGCUUCUAAUCUUGGGAGACCACGCUUUCCAUUUUUAGCAUGUUGCAUUGUAUCAUGCACUGAGGAGGAAUUGAUGCAGGAUGAGCGCCAUUUUUGUGCACGUUGUGGGUUUAACCCUGUAUUCCAUCUUUCUGUUGUAGCUCAAGAACAGUGUGAUCUGGAGGCAAGUGCAACUUCGAUUUGCACUCUUGGCUGCAUUUCAGUAUUUGCACUCUUGGCUGCAUUGGCACACGAAGUGUUAUUUAGUGCCUCAGAGUUGGAUAUUGCUAACAAUUGACUGAUUAUUUCACCAAAAAAUUCAGAUGGAGAUAGUUGGAAGAAGAAAAUUCAAUCUGAUGAGAUCGUCCAGUGCAGUUUUACGUGGGGAACAGAACUACUGAAAGUUUCAGAGAGCAAGUUCUCCCAGAUUGGAUGAGCAAGGCAGGCCAGGUUUUUUCAAAUCAAAGAGCGACUGGAUUGUGCCUGAGCUUCGCUAGUUUUCUUGUCCUCGCUUUUUUCGGUUUCUUGGCCUAGCUAGGCCUUUGCUGUUCUUGUUGGACUUUUCUCUCCUCCUCUAUUACUUUAUGAACGUCAGAGCUCCUGACUGUUCCUUUUCUAUAAAAAAAAACUUCGUCAUGUUCUUUCUUUUGCUGAGAUAAUUCACCAGUUCUGAAACUGCACCUCUUCCCUCUAUCACGGACAUUUUUACUGCAUCCAUGCUGCUCGAGUGCUCAGGUUCAGCAUAGCCAUCGUUCAGCUAACCGACUUGCAUGCCGGCAUCGGCACAAGAGGCCACCUUGCGCGCCCAUAGUACCAGUCUACCGGAGGCUGUUGAUGUUCUCCGUCAGCUCCCUGGUGCCUGACCGGCUCUCUUUUGCUGGCAGCCUGACAAUGCAGAGACUUCUACUGAUUUCACAAGGGAGUCCCCUCUGCUAAUUGUAGAACGAGACGAAUUCUCACAGACUGUUCCUGAAUGCAGCUCGUGGUAGUGCCCUGGAAUUCUGGAGGAUGCCAUCUCCUUGGUGCGGUGGUGCCCUUCAGAUGGCACACGACACGCGUUUAGGUUCAGUGGGAUGGGUGGGUGUAGUGGAAAAGGAGAACAGGUCCUCUUACUGUGCCCACGCUUGGAUACAUCACAGGAGCUGAUGAUUAAGUUGCUGCUUCUCACUAUGAUACGUGACACCACCAUCCACUCCGUAAGUGCCUUUCGAGAGUAAAAUAAUGAAAAGUUAAGAUCCACAUUUACCUUUAUCUCAUUGUUCUAUUUCAUCAUGUUGGGCAAAGCUGGCUGGCACCAAACGGUCAAGUAUAAACUGUGUCAGACAUACUUGCAGUGAAAGAAACAGUGCAUAAUAGUGUUACCCAUGGUGUGCAAGAGCAAUUAGUGCAUGGACCUAUGAACACUCUGGGAAUCUUUAAAUGGUAAAAAAACAUGCUGGAUUUUCUGAACCCUGAUUCAUCUUCUCAUAAAAUCAUCUAGUGCAUGAACUACAAAAUGCCGGCCGUAAAUUACUCAGGCUUUGCGGACUUAUUUUUCCCAUUUAACCAAGCUAAUUACAAGACCACAAGAGAUAUUUGCAAGUGGAGUGGAGACAUUCUAGCACGAGGUCCACGUGAUGGAAAGAGGCAAACCGGUUGGUGAGGCUGAGAGCAGAGCAGGUACGGAGUGGACCACAUGCCCGUACUGCCGGUCUACCACUGCUACUCUGUACCACCGCACAUGUGAAGUAUACCACUGCACCUUCGUUUGUUCAGAAUGUACGGCCAGUACGAACCUUAAGGGACAAUUAGAAAGAAAUUUGAUACUCCAGAGUCCAGUCAACAUUCUUUGAUAUACUUUGACAGGCCUCAAGCUUCAGCAAAUUCUGCGUCCCAUCGGAAAAAAAAAAAAGAUAGAUGCCUAGCGUACCGAAUGUGAAGAAGUUACAGGACAGAGCUGCUCCAUAGAUGACUACCAUCCAAAAUCAAGUUUAGGAGCUCAAGCUAGAAACGAAAGAUACAAAAAUUAAGAACUUUGCAGAGCAACUCUUGAAUGCAGUUAUCGAAUGAAUAAUCUCUCUGAAUCAAAGGCACAAAAUUGAGAAUUUCGUACGUCAAGACUUGAGUGCAAUUGUCAGAUGAACAAUACCUCGGAAUAUGCAAAGUUUUUUUUUCUGAGAGAGGACUGAAUAUGCAAACCAAGUUGCAGUGUCCUAGUGUACCUACUAAGUGCUAUUUAAUUUCAGCUACCAGCGGAGCCCAGCCAUGUACAAAGGCCAAGCGACUUGGGGCCCUUUCACCUGCAAGGAAGUGCUGCUGGUCCUGAACAGAAUUCAAUACAACAGAGCAAAGGAUGGCAAAAGUUUCUUGAAAGAUCAUAUAAUACGCUCAAACUUUUUGAUAUCUCCAUCGAGUGCCACUACAUAACGUUGCAACACAUGGAUGAGCAUGAAAUGUCUACCCAGCACCCACUUAUUUGUAGGACCUGGUAGCUAUAAAGAGAAAGGACCUAGGAGCACAAAAGGUUGAAGGGAACAAGCAAGGGUGAGUAAAUAGCCCCAGAAAUGAGGCCAUCAAGAGAAGUAAAACAGCAUCAAUGGAAUUCCAGCCUUUUAGUUAUUACGUAGACAGUAGACGCCCACUUCUAAAUUUACAACUUCCCCAUAAUUUUGUAGGCUAAUAACAUCAAUUUUGUAUCACAAAAGUUAUAUACUAGUAAUCAAGUAACUGUUGGUCAAAGGCUUGUCAUAAUGAAACAAAAUACAUUCUUAGACAGAUGAAGUAAAUCAGUAGUGAUGAUAAAUUGGGCCUGUACCCCCACUGUAGCACAUAGGCCAAGGACCACGACCAUGAGGCAUACAAAUAAAUGCAGUCCUAACAGUCUAACACUAAACACAGACCCACCCCACUAGCAGGUUUCUUACACACCAUAUCUGAGCAGCUGCACAGAUAUUAUUGCAAUACAGUGGAAUGGAAGGACAAAGGAAAAGCAUGUCCUAAAAAGGACACAAAAAUUUCAAGAGACGUUAAGAAAGCAUAGAUACAUACAAUAUGUAAUUUAAUUUAGCUUGGUUUUAUCAAGGAUAAAGAGUAAUGCAAGGUGUGCUGAGAAAGAUUUGAAGUAAAAGACACCUGGCAAAGCAACCACGUUAUACUGCCAUGCCAUAGACCCUAUCCAAUUAGUUGUAAAGGACAUCCUAAGAAGAGCAGCCCAAACAGCCAUGUCAUAUGGACAGACAUUUCAUCAGCUGAUGUGUGAUUGGCUCUUUCUGGUUAUUACAUAAUAAGAAUAUUGCUUUCCCAGUCAGCUCGACUCUCUAGAAAGUUAUAACUUUCCCUUCAAUAUUAAUGAAAUAUCCACUUACCAAACAUUUAAAUGCGAGUGCAGGACCAUAUAGACAUUCAUCUGAUCACCAAACAUUUAAAAUGAAUGCGAGACCAUAAACACAUUCAGGUGCUUGUAGAAAUGACUGAAUGACGAGAUGUAAUUUGCGGACUGACAAAUGACCAUAAACAUUUAAAAUAUGAGUGCAGAACCAUAAACAUAUUUAAAAUACUUGAUAAUUCACAUGCCGAUUGCCAAAUGUUAGAAAUGUAGCAUCCAAAUGUAUCUCAAGUUUUAAACUCUUCAUUAAACUAAUACAUAGUAACGGCUAAAUUGGUAUGUCUGUGUUAAAGAUUCAAAGUUUUAAUCUCAUAAGAAUUACCAAACUGGACCUUGACCUUAGUUAUGAAAAAAAUGCUUCAUGAAAAUUGGGUCGGGGUUCAGGUUAAAUUUAGAGAUAUUCGUUCAUAUCUUACAAAGAAAAGCAUAAAGCUAAGGCCCAAAAAAUAGAUAGGAUUAUAUUAUAUUUAUAUCCUGGUAGAACCACAAAAAGCUCAAAGCCUAAAACUAACACAUAGGAAUAUAUUAUUGAGAUAAUAAUUAUACUAAACAAAUUGGGACAAGAAAAGAAAGUUAUCUCUGAGGUCAAAAUAGAAUUGGACGCUGCCUACUAGAAGGAUCCGCACAAACCCAAAUCAAUAAAUUCCCAGAUCCUUGGAAAACAUUCCUUCCUGUUAUUGUAAUAACUGCCUACCCAACUUGCAUGGGACUAAGGAUUUGCUGUUGUUAUUAUUGUUGUUGUUCUUAUUCUAAGUACUGAAGGUAGGCUUCCAGUUAUUUACAGACACCAUGAUCCUUGUUAGUUAAUGUACAGGUCCCUUCAAUAGAAGACUAUUUAUCAAGUCACUAGAAAAGCUAGCAUUCGUUAUGCAAAUGAACUACGGGCAGUGUUGCAAACAAGAGUCACCUACAUACCUAACAUAUCCUACAGAUUGAAUAAAACAUAUCUUAACAAAGCUUGGAGUGUGGGGAUAUAACUCUACCAGCCUUCAAUAAUAAAAUCAUGCACCACCCCUACAAGGUCAAUCCUAGACCCACCACUAAUUUACACAAAGUAGGAUACACUUUCUUUUCCUCACCAGCAUAAGCAAUCUUUUCCGAAGCAGCAUACCACGCUCUUUAAGAUCUUGUAAGCAUCCUCUUAUUCCUGUAUUUUGCAAGUUGGCAAUAUAAGUAGAGGAUAUAAAUAGGUAAAGUACUUUUUUCAAUAAAGUUGUUCUAUAAUAAUUGCAGAUUACAGAAUAAGAAAUAUUAAUGAAAAAAUCUGGCAUUAAUGAAGAAAUCACAAUCGACCAGUGGGAUUCAGGUCCCAGAUUUAAAAGAUGUGGAAAAAAUGCUCAGGGGUUGACUUGACACAUAGUUUACUCCAAAGAUAAACUUCAAGCGAGCACUUGUACGAUAUGGAAACAAUUCUAAAAGAAUAUGUUGACUUCCAUUCCAUGUCUGGAGCAGUACACAUAGAUACAUUGAGUCAAAGGCAACGAUAUAUUGAAGAUUAAUAGUCAAGUACUCAAGUGGUGAUCAGGUUGUUUUGCAACAGAAACAAUGAAGUUCUGCAUUGUUCGUCAUAUAUCUUGAAAGAUUCAGCUUCAUAAAUCAUCAAAUCCAAAGUCCAGCUCCGUGACUUCACAUCAAGAGUGAUUUCUCGUAGCUUGACAUUCCUAUGCAGCCCAAGCUUUCAAAAAGAAUUGACAAAUUCAAGAGGAUGUGAAGGCUACGCAUAAAUAUCACUGCUUCGAAUAUACAAGCGCAUAAGAAGGUUCAAAGAUAAUGGACCCCUUUACCAACAUUAUCCAUAUCAUUUCACUAUGCUGUGUGGCUCUACAGCUCUGCAUGGUUUGAAAGGAUAAGACACAAGUGCAAAGCACUAAGGUGAUAUGGCUUUCACUUCAUAAAAGGAGCACCAUAGAAUUUUCACAAAGAUAUCACCCCCCCCCCCCCCACACACACACACACACAAAAUCCCAAGGUACAUGCGGGAAGUACUACCAACCAUCAGAAUGGAAUUGCCACUCACCAUUCCGCAGUGGCUUGUCACUGCAAAGCUAGCUAAGAACACCGCACCACUUCACCUCACUUAUCUCCACCACUAAUACUCAAUGGCCCAAACAUCAAACAAGAACACUUAAGACCCCCCCCCCCCCCCUCCCGACCUCCAAAAAUAGCAAAUAUAAAUUCAGCCACCUGCACAACCCCAGCAUACAAUCUUUAAGGAUAAACUAAUACUACAACAGCAGACUGUCAAUUAUGUCUUGUAAAAUUUUAGCAAGAUAGCUAUUUCUUAUUAAUCACAGUAUUGCAGAAUUGCAACCGGUGCAUCACCUCAAAUAUCCAGCAGGCACAAAAAUCACAGUUACUAGCACUGAGUAAAGCUCAUUUCCCCCAUCUGCUAUUCCGCUUCCACACAAAGUCAAUUACAAAUUUGAUUGGUUAUAGUAGCCAUACCAGACUAACUGGCAGAUAGUUAUAGACAAUCAGACUAAGAACAUCAUAAGAAUAAACAUUACGUUCAUAUCAAAGACAUUUAUAAAAAAGACACUAAAAGAAAAAAACGUAGUCAUCCAAUAAUUCCACAUACAUCUGGUACCAGCAGGAUGUAAUCUUCACAUGAAGUAUAAAUUCAGGAAAGCCUGUUAUUUUGGCAUGAAGGUAACAAAUCAACAACAUUGCAGCGCUACUUCCAAGCUACUCAUGUCAAGCUGUUGUAGCGAAACAUGUUCACCCCUUAUCAUGAAAAAGGAUCAAAUAUGGUUCCAAAUAUACAUUCAUUUUCUUACAAGACUCCAUGGGAACUGCUAUAAACAAGAUGCUUCAUUUUCUUACAAGGCUCCAUGGGAACCACUAAAAACAGGUGACAAGUUAUACGAUCUUUUUGUUAUCAGAUUGCAUGUAUCUAGAAGAAACCUGGACAGAAUAAUAUAAUGUUAUUUCUGGAUUAACCAAAGAGAAGUGCGCAAGCUCCAGCUAACUCUGAAGUUAUCCGGAAUACACAGUUAACUUACCGAUUCUAAUGUAGGACGAAACUAAUCCACACCAAAUAAAGUGAAGGUGUACUAACAGCAAUUUGUAAAAAGCUAACUAUAAAGAGAUGCCUGAUAAGCAUUCAAUUCUUUUGGGCAUGCACACAAGCAGCAAAAGAGAAGCUGAGGAUGGUAGAAGAGAAAAAUGUGGCAGGUCAGAAUUCCUCCCAUUUCAACCUUUAUGCCAGAAUAUUUCAGUAAUAUGAAUUGCAAAAAGAAAACAUAUAUCAAACUCUGUAUUCCUUGCAGAUUUCUUUUCCCCAUGUCUGUUAUCUAACAGCUAGAAAUCUAAAAUUGAUGAGCAGAAACUGAACUACAACAAUAUUUUGCUCAUUUCAAUCUAAAACCUGACAAAGACCUCCGAAUGCAAUGGUUGGAUCUGAGGACCAUCAGGCUCACUGAAAAUUAUCUGGGUAUUUGCUGAAGCUCUUUCCAAAUGCAUUAUUUCUGUUUUCAGAAAACUGGGCAGCACAUCCGACUGAAUCUUGCGGAGUCCUUGAGGGUGAUCCUCUGUAGGAGCAAUCAGAAAUAGUUUCUUCAGACAACUAGACUUUCUAAGCAGAAAUUCUACUAGUUGCAUCUCAUUACGGUGCCCCUUGAAGUUUGUCAUCUUGGCUAACCAAAGGUUUUCUAAUCCACCUUUAGGUGGCUCUUCCUCCGCUACCUCCAAGAAAUUCUCCGUGAAUGAAUCACGAACGUUCGUCGGGAGCUGCAAGUUCAGUGGAACAUGUUUGAGAAACAGAUCGCAUGGCCAUAAACAAACUAGCAAUCGAAUGCAGAUUUUUGCAAUAAAAAUAAGCAAACAGAGACCUGCACAAAGAGCCGCUCCAACUGAGGACAGGAACAUGUCUUGAGGAAGCUGUAGAUGUCAGCAAGGUUGGAGUUGGCCAUGCCGAACAUGAGGAAAUGGAGCUCUCUCAAGCUCUGCAGCUUGCUCUCCACUACGGCCUUAGCUGUGAAAGCAGAAAUGUACUACAAGGCAAAGGCGAACAAGUAUAUAAGCCUGUUGGCAAUGAAAUGGGCUGAAAGGAAAUGGCAUAGAUGCCUGAGCAGACCUGGAGUGCAAUGCUGCAGAGGGUGAGGACACUGAGGUUCGAUAGGUGGGGAACCGAGAUGGGCAAGUUGGUGGGCGGCAAGCCGUUCUCCGGCCCGCCGGAGCAGAGGUAGAGAUGCUCAAGUGAGCCCCCAGCGCCCGUGAGGAUGUUGCUGGAGAGGAAGGCGCCGCUCAACCGGAACGACCGGAGGCGCGGCGCCAUGGGGACCCGCACCUCCGUGGUGCGGGAGCAGUCGACGAGGGUGAAGGUCCUGAGGUUGGGCACCCCCACGGCGCUGAAGUCGAUGCGGCGGAGGCGGCGGCAGUAGCGGAGGUCGAGCUCCCGGAGGCGGGGGCAGGCGGCGACGACCCGUCGCAGCGCGGCGUCGGUGAGGAACACCGAGUGGAGGUGGAUCACCUCGAGCGUGGCGACCAUCGCGUUGGCGGCCGCCGUGAGGUUGAGCCCCCGCACCGAGAGGCGCGCGAGCAGGCGGCUCCCGACGGGGAAGUGGACGGUGAGCAUGCCCCGGCCGCGGGUGCCCCCGCCCCCGCGCGAUCCCCUCCCCGCGCCGCCGUCGACGCGGAGGUGCAGGUCCUCGACCUCGCACACCGCGGCGUAGUCGAGGCAGCGCCUGAGGUCCGGCUGCGUGAGCUGCCCGCCGUGGAAGGCGAGCGAGAAGCAGUCCAUCCGGCGCCUCCCGCGCCGGUCGAUGAGCCCGAACUGCUCCACCCGCGCCGCCGCCCCCGCCGCGCCGGGAGGGAGGCGGAUGCGGACCGACGACGGCUCCGGCCACCGCUGCUCCCACAGGCACCGCCACCGCGAGGAGAGAGCGCCGGUCCGGAUGGCGGAUUUGAGCGGCAGCAGGCUCAGAAUCUGCAUCCGCAGCGCGUCCGGCAGGUCCGAGAUGCGGUCCUCCUCCACCACCAUCUCCUCCUCAUCAUCAUCCUCGUGGCCCCCACCUCCCACCCGGCGCCGCUUCCCGCCGCCCCCCGCCAUUCCGCUCCGCCGCCGGCUCCUACCCGCGCCGCAUCGGGGGAGGAUUCCGCGGGGUUUGGUUGCGCCGCUCCUACAGGGCUGUGUUGUGAAGCAGGGGCGGGGAGGGGAAUGGGAAGGGAAGGGGGAGAGACGUGUGGAGGCGUCUUGCUCGCCGCCUGGCCGCUGCGGUGGCCUCUUGUGCUCGCUUCCCUCUUUCCCCUCCCUCCCUCUCUCUCUCUCUCUCUCUCUCUCUCUCUCUCUGCCUGCUGUGGUGUGUUCUGGCUGGCUACUUGCGCUGGUGGUGCCGCGCGGGUCAUACGGCUCACGCUCCUCCGCUCGCUCGCGUCGGGCCGCGCCACCCUCCCCUUUGCGUUGCGUUGCGUCGCGGGUGCGCUGCGACGUUGCUUUACCGUUCGGGCCUUUUCCGCCGGGUCGCCGGCCGCGACCUUUUCACACCAACAGGCAGCACGCACAGCCCCGCGGGCCUCGCCUUGCUUCCCAUUUUUUUCUCUCGCCCGCCGCUGUUCACACGGCACUUCACGUCCUUUUUCUUCCGUUUCGUUUCUUCCCUCUCUUUCUCCUUUUUUUUUGUUCUGCGUACCUUUUGCGCCGUUUUCAAUGCUUUGCUAAUUUUGAGCUCCCGGAUGAAAUGCCUGCUAAUUAUGUGAAAGCAAACAUUGAUUUCUUUCCUUCUCUAAUUUCCCUACAUUGAUUUAUUUCUUUAUCUAAAUUCCAUGCUUGUUUAGGAGAGGAUCUUCCAUAUUUUUCUUCAUCAAGGGAAGAAAGUGGUCCAAAGGGCUCCAGGAGCUCAGGUUAAGGUUACACUCUUGCCCUCCCUCUUUGCAGGUAUGCAUAGAAGCCAUAUCGGCGCAAUGACGGUUGGCACGGUAGCAACUAGGUGGCGAGCUUGCAAAUGAGGGGGUGUUUGGAUACACCAUCCUAAACUUUAGUACCUGUCACAUCGAAUGUUUGAUACUAAUUAGGAGUAUUAAAUAUAGUCUAAUUACAAAACUAAUUGCACAGAUGGAGUCUAAUUUGCGAGACGAAUCUAUUAAGUCUAAUUAGUCCAUAAUUUGACAAUGUGGUGCUACAAUAAUCAUUUGCUAAUGAUGGAUUAAUUAGGCUUAAUAGAUUCGUCUCGCAAAUUAGUAUAGGGGUUCUGCAGUUAGUUUUAUAAUUAGUUCAUAUUUAGUACGCUUAAUUAGCGCCCGAACAUCAGAUGUGACCCUCCUAAAGUUUAGUACAUUAUAUCCGAACAGCCCCUGAGUCAUGUUGGGUGCGGGGCAUCAGGACUAGGUGAUAUUGGCAAGGGAGAAUGGAGAGACAGAGGUGCAGCGAGGGGUGCAUAUUUAUUUGUAGCGUAACAAGUCAACUGUAGCUGUGCGCUUGCUUAUAGUGAAUUAGAAUAAACUUAUUGGCCGUAUUUCUAAAAAAUAGUCGAUUGAAUUUAUUCGGGUCCUUUUAGGAAAGUACGAAAGAACAAUUAUUUGUAUCUCUUAAACAUUAUCCCACAUUUUAGCGAACAUGUGAAUUGUCACCUUCGGUGAAUGGAAAAGGAUUAACAAAGACUUAGUAUAACAUGACAAUAAAGGGCCGACCGGUCACCAAUACUUGGCAUUGCUGAAUUAUCUGGGAGCGGUAUAUUUCAUAUUUAAUUUUGACCAAUAUUUUUUCUUAUUAAUAUAUAGUUAUAACAUCGCAUAAAUAUGAAAGUGCCUUCUAAGGUAAUAUAAUCUUUCAUAAUUUCAAACUAAAUAUCUUGAAAGAUAGGAUGAGAAGAUGCUAUAGGAUAAGUAGAUAGUAAUGUGAAAGAUAUGAUGAGGAGAUGGCAUAGGAAGCCUAGCUGAGAGAUAAUACGAUGCAUCGAGUGUGAUACCUCCGCCAUUUUUCGACUUCAUGAUAAGGGAAAGGUGUUUCAUGAUAAAAUGAGGUGCAGUGGAUUCUUGUAAUUAGUUUAGAGAUAAAUCAAAUUCUAGGAUCUCUGAUCUAAUGGUUCGCUGCGGGUAUAAAGAUAUAAAGGUUUGCUAAAGAAGAAUAACCACCAGAUUGCACUCGAACCCAUCUCCACAUGAUUCUUGCUCGUUUCCUCUCCCCUACCAAAUCUAUACUAUAAACUAUAAAGAGCGACCAAAUUAAAAACAAUUUCUACCCAGAGUUACACCCCUGUACCCCUCACAGAGGACCCACCUACCAGGCUAGGAGGGUGACGAAAAGAUGUGACGAAGGGUGGGAGGACAAAAAAACUAGAUGAUAGAAAAUGAUUCUGCCAAAACAUCUGUUUUUUCUCACCUUUCUUUUCUCCUUACCUGCCCUCCUUACCCGCACGCACGUACCCUUCCGCGCGCCAAUCACGUUCCUGAUUUUUUGGCCGAGGUCUCCUUCCUUUUCCACGUUUUCCACGUUCUGCCGUUCCGCGACUCCAUGAUUUUUUUCGUGGUUUCCUUCCUUUUUCAUGCUCUUGAUUGAUUGGUAGCCUUCCUUUUGAGAGCCUUCCUAUUGAGAGCCUUUAAUUUAGAUCCUGUUUGGCAUGACUCCAACUCUGGGUGGAGCUGCUCCACUCCAGAACUCCAGGUGGAGCCAGCUCUGGGUGGAGUUGGAGCUGUCUGGUGAGGGUGUUUGGCUGGGAGGGUGUCCCUAGCUCCAGAAAAGAGGAGUUUGAGGGUAGAUUGCCUUUCUUACCCCUGGUUCGACUUGAACUACUUAUCACAAAUAUAAAAUGAAAGUACAUGCAUUGAAGUCCAAAAUAAUAAUAAAUUACAUGUUCCAAAAUUUUAAAAUUUUGAAAUAAAUUCAUAGUUCCAAAAUAAGGUCGUUACAGUAAUCAUUGCACUAAUUCCAUGUUAGAGCAAUUGAUGUAGCCAUACUAUCACGAAAGGUAUCCAUAGUCACAAAGCUUGAUUCCGAAGUUGAUCCAUCGGAGGCAUGUUGAGACACGGCAUACUUGUUGUAUCUUACCGGAAUAGUAGGCAUGUAGGUAGGAUCUCUAUCAAAAUUAACAAAGUCCACAUCAACACUAGCAUGUUCACGUAUGAAAUUGUGUAGAACCAUAAUAGCAGCAACAAUCUUCUUUUGUGUGACCAUUGAAUAACCGGGCAUCUUGUAAAGGAUUUGCCAUUUCAUUGUUAAUACUCCAAAUGACCGCUCAAUAACAGUACGAACAGAUGAGUGUAUACGGUUGAACUUCUCUUUUGGAGUAUUUGGUUCCAUACCUCGAUGCCACUCGGGUAAGUGGUACCUUUCACCCUUGUAUGGAGCCAGAUACCCCGAAUGAUUAGGAUAGUCCGCAUCUACAACAUAGUACUUGCCUACACAUAUGUAAAAUAAGAUAAGUUUGUGCAUACAAAUAUGAAAAGAAACAUAAGGAAAAAUCUUUACCUUGAGGAGGAUGUGGGAAGACAUUUACAUCUGCUUCCAAUGCAUGGUACAAUACACUAGUGUCAUGCAAAGAACCCGGUUGACCCGCAGCCACAUAGGUGAAGCGCAUAUCAAAAUCACAAACGGCAAGCACAUUUUGAGUUGCAAUUCCAGUCUUACCAAUACAUCUCACUUGUUCUUCAGGUGAUAAAUACACAUGAAUAUGGGUUCCAUCAAGUGCACCAAUACAAUCCAUAAAGUGUGGGUAUGCUCUCUUGUCAUUCCUAAUCCUCUUGUGCACAUUGUGAAAAUUAUGAUCUGUCGGUCUCAAGAAAUCUUGUGCUAUGGCAACCACACAAUUUAGAACUUCAUGAAAUUUUCUACUAAUGGUUUUACCUGAGUGUUUGAACUUAUUUUAUCCUCUUCUAUUUGACUCACACCCACUACAUGUGAAUAGGAAAAUGGCCAACAUUUCAUAAGUAUUCACGUGCUUCGAUGGUUUUAAUCCGUACCUCUCAACCAACACAUCAUGAAGAUCCUGAAAAAUAACCUCAUUCAUCCGAAACAUUCGAUGGCACUCCCCUGGAGUGUUUACCAUCUCCAUCAGCCAUCCCAUUUCACUUUGUUGUGAAAACAUAAAUCUCGGCGGUACCUUAUCCAUAUAUGAGUCAUGAUAACUUUGUGCUAGCUUACCACAGCUUUCAACCAUUUUAAAAAAAUAUUCACCAUCAGACUCACUAGAUUCAUCAGACUCACUUGAAGACAUCUAUGAACAUUGACAUAAAUGAAAUGUAAGAUACAAUUGUCAUACAUAAAUAAAAUGCAAUAAAGUAAAAUGUACCACACAUGCGACAAAAAUAAAAUAGUAGCAUACACAAAUGACAUCACUCUCACCAAGCCAAUUUCUACUUUUCAUAUUUAUCAUUGUACUUCCUCCUAAGCCAAUUGAACCUAAUCUCAUCAGUAGGCAAGGUCAUGAACAUCUCACUUUGCUCCUUCUUCACAAACAGCUCAGACGCCAUGUAAUGUUCAUUGCUAUCAUAGCCGGCCCCACAAGCAAUCACAACCUCCAUCACUUCAUCAAUAGAAUAUUUUCUAUGUCUCUUAGAAACAUAUUCAUUGGCUGAACUUGCCAUACUUGUUACUGCUUCUUGAAUUAGGAGUGCAUUUCCAGACUUCGCCUUCUUGCCACUUCUAUCAACAUACCUUGCCAAUCUCUUGCCACUCGCAGGUGGAGGAGUAAUACCAAUAUCCUCCUCUUGUGUAUCCUGAAUGAAUUCAUCAUCUCGUGGCUCACAAUUGAUUUCCUCAUCUUGUGUCUCAUCCAUAUUUUCUGAUGCUUCAACAUUCACAACAUGAGGAGACCAAUGAUCAAUACCAAUAGUAGUGAUGUCAGAAAAACACUUGGCUAAUUCAUCUUCAUUCUCAAGACCUUCUUUUUGAACUUUUCACAACCCGGAAUGUCCUGAAAUAAUCAAAACAACACAUAUUAUUAUACGUAUUACUAACAAAAUUAACGUAUGCAAAACAUAUAUAUCAAAAAAAUUUAAUCAACUUACAGCUCUAGCUUUUUUCCACCAUUCGUCAUCCAUUGCAAUAGUCUUCUUUAUAGGAUCCCAACCAGUUCCUGUUUGCCUCAGCAUUAGUUUCUUCCAUGCCUUGAAAUCUUCCUUUAACUUGUCCCAUUUGUUCUUGAUCUGAGCCUUCGUAACUACUAUUCCAGUCCUUUCUUUGAACCCUUUCUCAACCUCAGCAUACCCAAGUGCAUUCAAGUGUGUGUUUGGCCGAUUUCCUUUUCCAACUUGUUCGGCAAAUAACAUACACAACAUCCGAGUGUUCUCUGAGUUCCAAUCAAUUUCAGGCAUCUAUCCAACUCAGAAAUGUCAUAUUAGAAUGCAUUAAUCUACAAGUCAGUUACGGUACAAAUAAAGCUCAUCUGCAUUGUACAAAAAUGAAGCCAAGGAAGUAUCGCUAAACGUGUAGCCCAGCAGUAAAUAAAUCGCAAAGAGCUAGAUCGGAUAUCAGCUCGUAUCAAGAUAGUUGGCAUUAGACAAGACUGACAGAACCUCAUCCACUAAUCCUUGGAUUUUAACCAGCUAAUGACAGAGUUCAAUCAAAGGUAUACAUUUGUUCCAAUCAAAGGAAAAAAAAUAAAUGGUUUACUCUGCAAGAUAAGUUUGGACAGAAACACACCUAAUUACAUGCUCAACGUCAAAUACAAGCAAGAUAAGUUUGGACAGAAACACACCUAAUUACACAAAGAAUUGAGAAAAAUACAGGUGGCACCAUCUGCCGAGUACCUUGUUCGAGCAAAUGGUUUACUCUUCUCCGCUUCAAUCUCUUUUAUUCUAGCCUCAGCUUCUCGCUUCUGCACCAAUCCUUUACCCCAUUGUAUAUGUAUUUCCUGCUAAUAAGUACAACAAUGGUCAUUGAAAGCUAAAAGCAGGAACUUGCUUUUGAUUAAACAUAGUUACAACUAGUAUGGGAGAGGACAAAUUUGUCAUAACACCAGCAAGAAGCUUCGAGUCUGUUCUAACUAUAACACUUAUAUGUACUAGUAUAUUUUCAGUUCAGUAGCCUCACUUCUGACUUUACCAUAGAACCUCAACUAAAAGAGAAAUAACAACAUCUGCAUAUUGUGUUUUCCCACUGAUUUUAGUCCAUAGCGUGUGCAUUGAACUGCCUGGAAGGAGUGACUUGCUGCAAAGCUGAAGGAGCACUAUUUUUGGACAAGUGAGUAAAAUGCGUUCAUGUUUAUGUACUUAUUUUUAUAAACAGAUCAGAAUAUCUAUGAUAGAUAAAGAAACAAAGGCACAAACAUAUUCUGCAUUAUGCUAAGCAAUUUCUACUGGAAUAUAACUGAACCGCUAACAGGCUACUGCAUCAAGUCAUCUAAUGAAUUGAUCUAUCCAACAGGAUAUUUUCAGCAAACUAGAACUGCUACAGGUUCAAGCUAAUGCAUCGAUCUAUCUAAUGAAUCGAUCUAUCCAACAGGGCUAAUUUCAGCAAUCUUGAACUACAACAGGUUGUCAUUAUGCAUCGAUAUAUCCAGCAGGCAAAUUUUAGCUAACAAGACUCUAAUGUUCAGAAGCUAGUACACAAAUCAGUUGCUACAAUAAUGUAUGGAUCUAUAACAGAGCAUGCAACCCAAUUGCACCAGCAUUGAACGGCGGCCGAUGGGCACAGCAGAACAUGUAACGGCGGCCGGUAGCAAAAACAAAACAAAGGAGGCACCGUACCUUGUGAACGGCGACCGGUGGGGGAUCUCCGGACGGCUGUUGGCGGGCCCUGCGGCCGACGGUGGGGGGCUGCGGCCGGCGGGGGAUCUCCGGCGACGGGGGGUGCGGCCGGCGUCGAGGCUUCUGCAGCAGGCGGUGGAUCUCCGGUGACGGGGAGCUACGGCCGUCGGUGGAGGGUUGCGGCUUGUGGGGGAUCUCCGGCGACAGGGGCUUGCGGCCGGCGUUGGGGCUUCUGCAGUAGGCGGCGGCCAGCGGCGGGCCUCGUGCAGAUCUGGUGGGAGGCGGAGCAAGGCGGGCGGGCGGGGGUAGGAGACCGGCGGCGGGGCUGGGCCGGCUGGCGGCGGAGGUGGACAGCGGCCGUCGGUCUGCCUGGCGGCGGCAGAAACCCAACCGGCGGCGGUCUCGUGAGAAAAGUCGGGACGGAGGGAGGCGCAGGACGAGGAAAAUGAGAUGCGCGGGGAGACUCGGAGAAUAGAAUCGAAAUGUUUUUUUCCGUAACCAGUGGUAUUGGUGGGUAAUUACCCACCAACUCCACGAGGAGGUUCAAAAGAGAGGGUUCUGGAGCAGCAAAAGAGGUGCUCUAAAACUCCAUCUUCAUUUGCACUACAACUCCAUGGAGUUGGCAGCUCCAUGGAGUUUUGGAGCUGGGGUGUUUGGCUGAAUUUUUUAGUGGAGUUGCUAGAGUUCAGGAGUGGAGCCAUGCCAAACAGGGCCUUAAUUUCAUUCCUAAUUUUUCUCCAUGGUCUCCUUCCUUUUCCAUGCUAUGUCGUCCCAUGACUCCAUGAUUUUCUUCGUGGUUUCCUUCCUUUUACAUGCUUUUGAUUGAUUGGUAGCCUUCGUAUUGGGAGUCUUCCUUUCAAGAGCAUUUACUUUAAUUUCGUUCCUAAUUUUUCUCCAUGGUCUCCUUUCUUUCCAUGCUCUGCCGUCCCGCGACUCCAAGUUUUUCUCCAUGGUUUUCUUCCUUUUUACACGCUCUUGAUUGGUAGACUUGCUAUUGAGAGCCUUUAAUUUAUAGGCACGACAAUGGCAAGUUCUCUCCUACAUCCAGAUCUCCUUCUUGCUUCACAUCCUCCUUCCACCGAGGGGCUAUCGCCGGACCUCCACGUCCUCACGCCAGAACUCAAUCAAGAUCAAAGGGCUACCGCUCCUUCCACCGAGGACUAUUGAUGGACUUCCACGUCCUGGUAGUGGAACUACAUGCUGGAACUCAAAUGGCUGUCGAUCCCUUUUGAUCAAUUUUUUAACUGCUCGGUGAAGGAAGGCCACUGUUGCAAGAUCACCACGACAAUCAAGUAAGGCCCUAAACAUUCAUCUUCUUCCUACUAUAUAAGGUAGUACUGCAUGUUUGAUCAUGUAAUUUUGCAACGUGAUGAUUCCAUAUGUUCUCCGCCCUAGAUCACAACAAAACAUUGUCAGAUUUAUAAUCCAUUAUGUUUGUGUACAACUCCAAAAUAUCUAAAUAUCUAAGAGUGAUAAUCCAUGAUGUUUUGAGUUCAUGACAUUGUUUGCAUUAUACAUGAAUCCGUCAAUGCCCUAUAUCUUGUGUUUAUGCUGAAGAUUUUUUGCCGUUACAUAUUAUUCCAUUAUCAUUGUAUCAUGUUACCUGUGUUGCUCUACAAACAAUGAUAAAUUCUUUUUUUACUCGCCAACAGUAUAUACAUCCAUCGAAUCUUUCAUUACAUGAUAUCUGAUCAAGAUAGGAUCGUUGAGCCAUCUUGGAGAUGUGACAAACACGCACGUAAGCGGAGCAUCAAUCUAUGGUGUUAAAAGACCUAGAGAAGGUAUCUAAUCUUUGGUUGAAUCCCAAUGUUCUAGUUGCACAUAACAUAUUAAGGACACUUAUCCAUGUAUCCUUUUGAGCGCAGCUGAAAAUGUUGAUGAUGCAGAAUGUAAGCAGUAGAAAGCAAGGGAAUGAUAUGCAAAUAUGCCAUUGGAGAAGAAGGCAGAACAUAAUGAAAAGAGAAGGGAAGAUUAUCAGCAUAAAAAGGCGGAGAGACAAUCAAGUAAUGGCAUGCUGGAACCUCUCAGGCAAUCAGGUAGUGUCAUGCAUGAACCUCUGGAAGAACCAUCUAGUGAUGAAUCACCUCUGGGACAAUCAGGCAAUAUCUUAUAUAUUCGUUAAAAAUUAUGAGUCAGUAUAGUAGGAUCCUUAAGUUAUGAUAUAGUUUUUUUUUUACUUUCACAGGGAUAUCUCAUGAUAUUGGAUGGGGUGAUGUUGGUGGGGAUUGGCUUAGUAGGAACCCCAGCUAUACAAUACUACUGAGAACUUAUCAUAUACUGCCAGCUAACAUCUCUGUAUCAAGCCUGGUAGUAGUACCUUGACUGAUGUUCAAUAGUUUUUCCAAUCGAUGUCUUUAAGCAUUUACAAUUUGCAUCCCAGAUCUUGUUGAGGUGCCUAUGAAUGUUCUAGGAUUGGAUGGAGUCAAGGAAAUGGAUGAUGAUAGAAGGCAAAUAUUGAAUUAUCAGGGAGAAGCAAGCAACGUGGGUGUACAAACAUCUGACUUUGCAUUUACUGGUAUGGCUUAUAUGAAACCCAUGUAGCCCUAGCGUAUAAUCAUACAUGCAGGAUAUCGCCUCUAACAAUAGGCAUGUAUAUUUUGAUAUUUGAAGAUGUACCAGUGAUCAGCACUAUCCCUAAUGAUGUGUCACUACAAGAUCUGAGAGUUGAGGAAAGCAUAGAAAAGGAGGGGCAUACAUUUGCAAUGUCAACUAAUAAGAAAAGUGAGAGGAAUGCCAAAAGAAGAGUAAAUUACCAUCGCUCGAAGUGCCAGGAAGACUCAAUCUGCCUCGACGAACACCUAAUGUCGCCUUCACUAGUAUGCACGUUAAUUUUUACCUAUAAAUUUGAUGAAUUUAAUUUGAUGGAGUUCUAGCGACUUGCAAUUAUGCUAAUUUUGCUAAUUUUGCAUUACAAGCAGGAGAAAUUGGAACUAGACAAUAUGUGGUAACGGCAAAUGUUGCAACUCCAGAUGCAGGAUUGAAAUUGUACUAUCUAUGUUUAAAAUUUUAUUUAAACACAUGGAUGUGUAUAUAAGUUUUUUUAAGAAGGUGACCAACAUAUUGGAGUAGAGGUGUCUCCGAAGGAACUGAAAAGGUUAAGAGAAAGAAAAAGAUAUGCUGAAGUAUCUGACUUUGAAAGACAACAGAAGAUAUUAAAAAAUAACAAUAUACGGCACAAUAAAAUUUCUAAACAAGGUACUAUAUUUGAGCUAUUUUUUUCAAAUUCCAUUAAUUGUUUUAUACUAGAUAUAAUUAUGUUGUUCCAUUUUUGGGCGAAUGUUUCAGAUAUAGGGUUACAGACCCCUAUUGGAAUAUUGCAGUCUACUGUAACCCAGUUAGGAUCUGUUCCAAGAACAAGGGGUUCUAUUAAUAAUGAAAAUGAUGAACCAAACCAAUCCGGUUUAUGGGAACCAGACAAUCCACUACACGUAAUAGAAGGUAACUUUAAAUCACUUGGUCCUGUAUAUGAUUUUCAUUGUCCGUUGAUAGUAUCCCAAUUAAUAUAUUAUAUUAUAUUAUGCAAUGAAACAGAGAAUGAUUUAGAUGAGGUGGAUCCUGACCAAGAAGGAGAUGACAAGUUAGAUCAUGAUGGAGCGAGGUUAUUUUACCAACAAGGUACGUUAUAUAUUAUUGAAAUGAAUGUAACUUUCCUCUCGCAACAAGAUGGUUUAUAAUUAAUUAUUGGUUUGUGGCAGAUACCCAUUACGAGUAUUAUAGAGAUUCGGAUAUGGCUUCUAAGGGUCCUGAUCCAUUUGAUGGAGUGUACAUGAACCUUCCUAAGAAGCAUCAUGUGUUGAAGAAGGCCAAAAACUGUGAGUUCUACAAUGCGAAGAAGUUCCCUGGUAAAGGACAUGCUUUCUGUUGCAGGAAAGGGAAGGUCCACAUAUAUAUCCUAGAAGUACCGUCUGAGCUUCGCCAGUUAUUUACGAGUCAAAUGGACAAGGAUGCAAGGUAUUUCAGAAAGCACAUAUGGUACUUCAACUCACAUUUCUCUUUCACCAGCUUUGGGGUUUCCAUUGGUCGUUGUCUCGUGUCUACAAGAGGUACUGGUGUGUGUACCUUUGAGGCACAUGGCCAGAUUUACCAUAAGCUCGAUCCACUUGUGCUGGGUGGGAAAGGGCCAAACCAUAUGCAGCUCUACAUUUUAUGACAUGGAUGAUAGUAUUGCUCGUCAUGUUAAGAGGUCCCCUAAUCUUAAUGAGAACCUGAUCCACUUGAUUCGUGGUAUUUUACGGGACAAUCCGUACGUCCAAGUGUUCACGAGCCUAGGUACUCUUGCAAAUAUUCAAGAGUACACGAUUGAGCUGAAUACCAAGAUUUCUGUUGAUUAGAGGAGAUAUAAUGCACCCGAAAUGGAGCAGAUUGCAGCUAUCUGGGUCGAUGGCAAUGACUCUCAGCACAAGUUCUCUUGGAGCAUUGUGAUAUAUGGAAAAUCAGAUGAUCCACACUAUGUUAGGGCGUACCUAUUAUGACCCAUUAGCAUAUCAUUUGUCUUUCCAUGGUGGUGAGACUGGCUGGGAAGACAAGAUGAUAAAGUUUCGAGAUCCACCACCAUCAAGCCAAAGCAUAAGUAUACUAAGCGUAAGAGGAAAGGUAUGCGUAUUCCACCUUUUUUUCAUACUUCAUCCAUAGAUUCAUUUCACUCACUGUAUGAAAUCUGAUGAUUUAUGCUAUAACAUAGAUGGAACUGAAGCCGAUGUGGGUGACUGUACAAACAAUGACCACUGUGUCGUGCAAAGACGUACAAAAAGAGCCGCUCAUGGUAUGUACCAUUUUUCAUGUGCUUUCAUACACACUUUACCUCACUUUAUUUGUAAACUAUUUAUUUACUUUUGCCUCGUAGAUUCGCAUAUUGUUGAAGCAGAUGACACAUCAUAUGUUGACUACAUCAAUGAGGAAGGUGUGUAUGCAGAUAUGCCAUAUUAUAUAGUUCACAAAUCUAAGAUUGAAAAGUAAGAUGACGAUUCAAUUUUCCAUAAUUUUACAGGAGGUGGUCAUGAUAAUGAUAAUGAGAGAAGCAUGUACAGCGAUGUUGAGGGCCUAGGUACGAGUUUCAGAUCAUCUGCAUCUAUUAUAAAAUGCUAAAAAAUUGAAUAUUGAUUGUUUUACCUAAUAUGUUCACAUAUAUAUUUGUUUUAUACACUGGAGGAUCACGUCUUUAUGUUAGUGCGAGGGAAUACAAGUGUUACAAGCUGCAGAUCUGUGAAGGUAGUUCAACGUGUUCUUUCAUGCUGGGCAUCUUUUCCAACAAUUGUUGGUUGAUUGGUACGUUAAGGUUGAAUCAAUAUGUCUAGAUUGGUAUUCGAAGCUGGAACACCAGGCAUUGAUUCAUGCAGAUCUAUAUCAGGUGAGAUUUGUUUGCUUUCCAUUCGUGCGAAUCUAUAUGAGUGUGCAUAAAGAUUGUCAAAUUAACAAAUAUAUUAUGUACUCUAUGAUGAUCAGGGACUGCUUGAUACUCUUGCCACUGGAGAGGCUGAUGCUUCCAAGGCAGGGCUUAGGAUUGUUCUGAGCAAAGAUUUUCCUGGAAGUGAUCGUGAUGUUAAGUCAAGGUUCAUGGAGGCAAUGACUUUGGUCGUACGGUAAGCCUGAUUAUUUCGUGACGAUGACAUGCAAUCCUUAUUGGGAUGAAAUAAUGGCAGAUUUGUUGCCUAGGCGGACGCCACAUGACCAUCCCGAUAUUGUUGCCAGAGUGUACCAUGCUAAACUAUUAGAUCUCCAUGAUUUCUUGAUCAAGAAGGGGCAUCUCAUCACUGUGGCAGCACGGGCACAUGUAACAGAGUUCCAGAAGAGGGGUCUACCACACAAGCACUUUCUGUUGGUUAUGGAUGCUGGAAGCAAGUUAAAAGAAGAGGGGUCUAUCACACGAGCACUUUCUGUUGGUUAUGGAUGCUGUAAGCAAGUUAAAGAGCCCUAAUGAUUACGAUAGGUACAUAUCAGCAGAAAUUCCUGACCCCAAUAAAUAUCCUCAGUUGCACCAGCUUGUUGCCAAGCAUAUGAUGCAUGGUCCUUGUGGUACUCUUAACAAAGAUUGUCUAUGCAUGAUAGACGGUCAGUGUCAUUUCCACUAUCCUUGACAGUUCAGUGAAACGACGCAACAAGGUAAGGACACAUAUCCAAUAUAUAGAAAGAAGGGAGGAUGGGCAGAAAGUGAAGGUUAGAAGCGAGGAAUUGGAUAAUAGGUGGGUGGUGCCUUAUAAUCUAGUGCUCCUAAUGAGGUAUAACUGCCAUAUCAAUGUUGAGAUUUGUAGCAGCAUCAAGUCAGUUAAAUAUCUCUACAAAUACAUAUAUAAAGGUCAUGAUCGUGCAUCACUUAUCGUUGAUGCAAAAGGAAAUGAGCACAUGGUAAUCAAUGAGAUCAAGCAAUACUGUGAUGCCAAAAUGAUUACAGCUAUAGAAGCAGUCUACAGGUUGUUUGGUUUUAAGUUGUAUUCAAUAUGGCCACCUGCCCUGCAGAUGCAAGUACACCUUCCUGGUUUGCACAUGGUUGCCUACAAGUCAACAGACAACCUAAAAGAUGUUGUGCAGCGUAAAAAAUCCCAGAGGUCAAUGCUAAAUGAGUACUUUAAGAUGAAUGCAAAUAAUCCUAAGGCCCAUUAGUACCUGUACAAGGAGUUUCCAAAGUACUUCACAUAGAACAAGUCUGGAAAAUAUUGAAAAUCUAGAGUUGCAAAAAAUAGGCUUAUGUAAAUCCCUCUGAAGGUGAUAGAUACUACCUUCGAGUGCUGCUGAACCAUGUGAGGGGUACAACCUCAUAUGAGAACUUCAAAACAUGACGUGGUAUUCCAUAUGAGACUUUUAGAGCAGCUGCUGAAGCCAUGGGGUUUGUAGAUACUGAUAAGUCAUUAGAUGAGCGUCUGACUCAAUGUGCCAUGGUCAGGUUUCCUUCUUCUCUCCGUAGGCUUUUUGCCACUAUUGUGGUUUUCUGCGAGUGCACCAAUGUCCGCCAUCUAUGGGACAAGCAUUAUGAAUCAUUGGCUGAGGAUUUCCGGCGUACUAAUGACAACAAAACUGUGGUUGAGCAGAUGGUGCUCCGUGAUAUUUCUCAUCAUCUGACGUCCAUGGGAAAAGACAUCAGGCACUAUGGUCCUCCAGAACUACAUGAGUCAGGUUAGUUUGAUCUAAAUUUUGUAUGAAAAAAAACUUAAUUUUACCCCUCUAAAUUUUGCAUGUCAUUUGUAUAAUUGGUAAUAAUGUUGAUAAGUUUUCUUGUUUUGUGCAGACAAUCAGCGCUCUAGAGAUCAUUACAGAGAGCUUACAGACGAGCAGAAUCUCGGUUAUGAAGAGGAACACCUGGAGAUAAUAGAUACGCUUAAUGUAGAACAAAGGGCAGGUUUUGAAGAGAUACUUGAACAUGUUAUGAAGGGAAAGGGACAUAUUUUCUUUGUGGAUGGUCCCAGCGGCACCGGUAAGACCUAUCUAUAUAAAGCAUUGCUUGCAAAGGUGCGCUCUGUGGAUCUUAUCGCCGUUGCUACAACAACAUCUGGUAUUGCAGCAUCCAUUAUGCCUGGUGGACGCACUGGCCACUCUCGGUUCAAGAUUCCAAUCAAGUUAGGUGAUAACACUAUGUGUAGUUUUACAAAGCAGGGUGGGACAACCGAAUUACUUAGGAGAGCAUCUCUGAUAAUUUGGGAUGAGGUAGUAAUGACUAAGAGAUAGGCCGUUGAAGCACUAGACAGGACAUUGCAGGAUGUAAUGGAAUGUACACAACCAUUUGGCGAUAAGGCAAUGUUAUAUGGAGAUGACUUUAGAUAGGUUCUUCCUAUUGUGGCCCGUGGUACAAGAGCACAUAUCACUGAUGCUACUUUGCUCAGAUCAUACAUAUGGCAAAGUGUUCAGUGCAUCCGAUUGACCCAGAACAUGAGAGCACAGUCUGACACAUGGUUUGUAGAUUAUCUGCUGAGGUUCGGUAACGGCACCGAGGAAAAAAAGAGAAGCAGUUUCAGUUUAGAUGCAAUAAUUUGGCCACAUGUCUGUUGGUUCUUCUGCCCACUUUAUAAAAAAAAACUUCCUUCAUUGCUCAACUAAAUUUCUUGAUCAACAUUUUCAAAAUUAAAUAAAGCAAGGGAGAAACGAGAUUGUGAUUAGUUAGGUCUCAUUUUAUAGAAAGAACUAUCACGCCCAAAUUUGUGGAGCCAUGUUUGGAAAUAAAAAAAUUAAAUAAAGUAAGGGGAAAAUGAGAUUGCGAUUGGAAGAAUUAUCAAAUUACAUUCCAUGGUCGUGGCGUAACACAUAACGACAUAACAACUACAUGGUGCCAAAUUUGGAAAUACAAAACUUAAAUUUAGGGAGAAACGAGAUUGUGAUUGGUUAGAUAAUAAUUUUAGUUAAAGAGUCAACCAGAAAGGCUCUAAAAAAUGUUUCAUUUUGCAAUAUACGCAUCUAGACACAAGCACAAUUGUUCCCUUUUAUUUGAUCAAUUGUACGUAGGGCUGGACGCGAAGUUAGAAACUCACGAGUUGGCUCGGCUCAUUCAUAUUUAGGUUCAGUUCGGCUUGGCUCGGUGAAUUUUUAAACGAGUCGAGCAGCUAUUUUUACUUGUUUUGUUAACAAGCCGAGUUACUCAUGAGCCAACUGAGCUAGAAGGCUAAAGGUUGAACCGAGAUGUGAAUUAGAAGAGUCUACACUACACCAUGGUUAGAGUGUAGAAAUCAUUAUCUUGUGGUGAAAUAUUUGUAUGACUACAUGUUGAAAAAAGGUGAAAAAGUAUAUGGUCAAGGUCCGUAUGAGUCGGUUAGUUGAUAAAGAUAGAUUGUUAAUGUAUCAGCAUUAAACAAGUAUUUCAAUCGAUACGUAUGCCUUUUAUUGCUUACUCGGAUUCCUAUAAUAAAUAUUUAUCUUAUUUUAUUUAAAAAAAUAUUUAUCAUGUUUUAAUUAUACACGUGCCUAUGGCACAUCCACUAUUCCCUUAAAGCCACAAGAGUUUCAAAUCACCCCAUGCCUCACGGUCGCUGCCAAAUUUUCAGCUCAAUCGUUUUCAGUACACGUUCAUGAAUAUAAGAUCUUGAGAAAUGCAUGGCAACGUGGUGAACUUCCGAAAUCCCCAAUACACGUUGCUAAACGUUUGAGCGAACCUUCCACCCGGUCUCCCUCUUUCCUCUCGCUGUCGUUGAUAUUUUCCUGAGGUGACACCCCAGUAGCUGGCACUAACACUGCGGAGAAAAUGGCCACAUCUUUCGUUGCUCGCUGUUCCAGCGGUCACGCUAGCGAGAGGGGCCAUCCGCCUGUACAUCCCCCGGCCGUCAAAUCGUGCGGUACCUUUCGAGCAAGGUGAUACUGGUACCAAUAGACUCGCGAAAUUCUCACCUAGAACCAAGCCUAACUUUGUGGGGCUAAUCAUCGUUCUCACUGCUACCCUAGUGGUUGAACUACUUUUUCAACGUUUUACAAAAUUUUCUGCCCUAAGAGCUGAAUAGUUUUCGUAAAAUUCAUCUGAAAAUUGAAAGAAAUUUGACACCGUACGUGACAGGUAACAGGUUCAGAUCCAGCAGCUGCCUUGACGACGACGCCUGUCCCUGCCGAGCUCGGCCUUGGCCCUGCGCAGGCGGGCCUUGUAAUCCUUUGUCCAAGCGCGGAAUUGUGCCUUGAGCCUCUUCAGGUCGUCGGUGGAGCUGCCGCCGCUCGGGGCGGCCGCAGCCGGCUGCCACGGCCCCGUAGCUGGCGGCGCCUCACCGACGAGCGCCGCCGCGCCGCGCUUCAGCGUGUGGCUCUGCCGCCGGAACUCCGCGCCGAGGCGGCUCACCGCGCUCCGCCUGGCGACCUGCACCAACAUACGGUCCCGCCCGUGCCACAGCCUCACCGGCGGCGGCUCCUCCGACGUGUUCAUCUGGAGUUCCGAACAUUCCCGGCGAUCGCGCGUCGCUUCCUCGGCCCUUCGUGCCGCGUCCCGAGCCAGCUGCAUGAACACAGACACGCAGGAAAAGAUGAUGGCCGCCGGAUCAUCGUUCAGAGUUUCAGAGUGGACGCUGCCAUGUUGUUGUGUUCGGAGACUCUGAUAGAACAGACCUGCAGAGUAGCCAUUUGCUCGUGGAAGGCUUCCUCCAGGGACUUGAUCCUGAUCUCGUACUCCAGCCACCUGAUGUGGUAGCUCUCGAUCCGCCGCUUCAGCGCGGCGUUCUCCUCCUCCUUGCGCCGCAGCUGCGCCUCCACCUCCGUCGCCUUCCUCUCGAGCUCCUCCACCACCAGCGAAACGUCAUCCGUCGUCGACGAUGUCGCGUCUUCCUGUUCCUGGCAUAGAUGAGCCAAGCCAUUUAAUUGUGCGUCACCUCUCAUGAUCAGUUGAUCGAGACGAAUCAGUGGACAAUGCUGAUGAUGUUAAUGGAGGUUGGAAGGGGAUUGAGAGAUGGAACCUUGGGCAGUGACGACGACGAAGACGGUGAUGGCGGCGACAAUGUCUGCGGCGGCGCGGCGGGCCGGGCCCUGCGCCGCGACGGAUGGCGGCCUCGUGCAGUCGGCCGUGCGGGCAGAGGCGGCGGCGGCGGGGAGGCGAGGGUGUCGUCUAGGGGCGCGUCGACGUCGCCGCCGCCUCCACCUGAUCCUCGCAUCAGCGAGAGGAGCAUCGCUUCCAGGGAGCUCAGGGCGGACGUUGACAAAGCCGACAUCGCCAUGACCGGCGUUCCAGCUGACGCAAUGCCGACGACACGCUGCGGCACGUGUGUGGAAGCUGCAGGUCGAUCGACUCCUAUCCUCGCAUCAAGAACUCAUGGCGUGCGAAGCGAUGAGCUCCGGAUUAAUAGAGGCGAAUUCGGAACGACUUGCUGCAGCAUCGGGAAUCCGGGACGGGAAGCCCUUAAUGAUCGACGAGGAGGUGCAUGAAGGUAUCGAGCCGGAGCGAAUAACGAGGGCGAUGGGAUUGAGGAUCGGAGAGGAGGCAGAGCAGCCGGUACCGGUAAAAUAGGAUCUUUGAAUUUUAACCACACACCUCGUAGGUUUCCUUCACUUUCUUCUCUUUCGCCUUGUGAAUUGGAACUCUUUGAAUUUUGAAAACUCGUUGCAUUGUUUUUUAAACUUCUCGUCAGAGUUGCUGUGUUAGGCCUAAAGAAGAUAUUUUGUAGUGCUAUCGGUUAAGUUUUUAUUGCUAAUUGCUAUGUCCAGACUAUAUGUAUCUUUAUUUUCAAUAUGUGUUUCCGUGUUAGGCCUAAAGAAGGGAACUUAAAUUUGCAAAUUAUAAACAUGUACACUGUAUUUUUUUUAAUGGAAACUAGUUCUAGCCUCCCCUCAAACUAAACAAAGAACAUGGGAAACUUUUUCUUCUUUUAAAAGGAUACUCCAUCUGGUUAGAUUUUUUAAAAAAAUCAUAAAGAAAUAAAAUCGUGCUUCCUAUGUGAUAUACUCCGUACUAUACACAUAGUUUCUGAGAGAUAAAUAAAUAAAAUCAUAAAUUUCCUGUGCAUGUACAUUUACGCACAAGAAACCUGUAUGAACUUUAUGAUUUUUUAUAAAUAAUUUGUCUAAAUUCUAAAAAGAAAGUCGGGAUAUCAAUAUUUAUAAAAUUACAGGCCUGCCCUGACCAUUAUAAAACAAUUUUAAAAGAAAUAACCCCUUUUGCACAAUCUCUCCAUUCCAAUGGGGUUUGAGUUUGAAAUAGGUCUUAACAAAAGGGGAAAAAAUCUACGUGAAUUUUUUAUAACCUCUAAACAAGCCUUAAGCUGCCCUGUAGGCGUGCCUGUUCGAUAAUUCCAUGCCUACCUUGAUCACUAAACAAAAGAUAUUUACAAAAAUCACCCUUAUCAAUUGUUGGGGAGUUUUCUUGAUUUCCAUUGGAAAUCAUUGGUUCUAGCACAACCUCUACAUUUCAAAGGGGUUCUAGUUUGAAACGGGUCUAAACUCUUAACCAAAGGGGAAAAUUCUAUACGGUUUUAGUUCAGAUGCCAUGUUGACAUGCUGUCAAGAUUUUUUUUUUGGUAAUGAUUCUCCAGGACAUGACCGAAGUUCCAAGCUCUGAACUCUGAAGCAGUUCGUCGAAACGGCCGUCUCACCGCGGGGCGCCUCCAUGGACGGCCCUGACCCCUCGCCGGCGAGCGAGUUGCCGUUCCGCAUCAGCUUCUCCGGCCACGGCGGCCACCUCCGCCUCGACCCUACCCCGCAACCGUCCAGCACCAUUCCCGACUUCGUCCCGGUACGUACGCAACCCACCAGUUCGCCCAAAAUCACCCGUGUUGUUCUCUGCAAUCUGUAAACCCUAAACCCACCGUUGUUGUGGCGGCGACCGCAGCCGCCGGCCUACCCGCCUGGGAGCCCGAGCAGCGUGAAGGAGUACCUCGAGGCGAACUACCUCAACCCCGAGCUCCACCUCCCCACCGCGGCCGAUGCCGGGAGGGUGUGGGACUUGGACUGGUUCGCCCUGGCCAAGCCACCGCUGGAGCCCUCCGCUCCCCGCACCAUGCUCGCGCCCGCCUGGGAGCCGCCUUUCCGGCGCGGUCGGGGGACGUCGCAGUCCGCGUCGGAGCCGCAAGUAUGGGAUCCUGAGUCCGUGCAGAUGGAGAUGGGCGAGGUGUUCGGUUCGGGGACCGGGGGGUUGGCGCCGCGGAUGCCUGGUCCGGCGAAGGACUUCGUCAGGGGGAGCAUCAACAACAGACCCUUUCGUCCGGGUGGUCUACUGGAUGAUGAUGCUGAGGUGGCUGCAUUGGAGAAGGCAUUCCCAGAGGGUGCGCGGAACGGUGAUUGGGUGCAUGAGCUUAUGACCGGUGGCCCGGCGCAGGUUGCUCCUCCGGGGUUCCGCAAGGGAUUGGAGUUGGGCCAGUUGAAGGUUUGUCCCUUACUAAAUUUCUAUCUCUUUUGCCAUGUAACCGUAAGGAUUGUUGUGGAUGCGCCAAAUUCUCACUGCGAUUGUUGGUACUUUUCUUGUAGGAGUAUAAAAGCCACUGGAAGUGUUUCCGGAAUGGAGAACUUGUAGAGGAGCAACCUGCAUCGUCAUCGAAUGAUACAAUGGUAGUUAGAGCAACGUUCCACAUUUUUGCACACUUUGCCAUUAUAGAGUUGUUAUAGUCUGAUUGUCACAUUUUUGUGCAGGAAAAAUACUCGGUGCAGUUUGAUGAUCUUUUCAAGAUAGCUUGGGAGGAAGAUGCCGCCAACAAGGCGUUACAGGAGGAUGAUGUUCAACAAUCAGCUGAAGAUGAGGGAACUGAAGGUACUUCGUUGCUGUCAUAGAUCACAUGUUCAAAUCACAUGAGUAUAUUGUCUUUUGGGUCUUGGCAAAUUGUAAUAGUAAAGAGAUAAUGGGCCAUCAUCGCCAUUAUGACUACUAGCACGUUAUUAGUGUUUCUGUGUGUUUGUUAACUCUUUGUUGGUUCUUGUUAAGCUUUCAUAUUCCAUUGGCAGGAGUUGGUGAACAAAAAGUUGAUGCAUUGCAAGAUGCUUCUGAGACCGUAACCAAGCUAGAUGCUGAGAAACAUGAAGUAGAUGCUAUAAGUGAUGAUCCUGGAACUCAAACAGACUUGGAUCUAAUGCUAUCUGCUGAAGUUCAAUAUGCACGAAGAGAAUCAGGUGUAUCAGGUGAUGACAAGCCAACACAGGAUGGCAAGGUAGGCACACUUAUGCUUUGUUUUGUAUCUCACUUUGUAUGAUGUGCUUCGCAUUCCAUAACCUUCAUGGGUGGAUAGCUUUGCAGAAAGUAGUCUCGAAAUCCUCUAAAGAUAGAUCAUGGAUGAAUUGAUAACGGCAAUGUAUCUCUAUUUCACUUAAUAGGUUUGGGCACUUGUUGGCGGGGACGAAGACAUUGUGACUAACUUCUACAAACUCGUUCCUGAUAUGGCAAUUGAAUUUCCAUUUGAAUUAGAUAAGUUCCAGAAGGAGGUAAGGUACUCAUAAGCUUCUGUGCCUUCUAUCUCAAUGUCUUCUCUAUACUGAUCGCAGCAUCUAGUAGAGUACACUACAUCAUCCAAAGAGCACACACUGCUCCUUUUUUACAUAAACUUUGAUAGGCACAUUUGUUCUACAUGCUUGUGAUUGUGAUACUUUGUCUAUAUUUGACCCGCCUUAGCUUUCAAAUUUACAUAGUACACUCACGUCACAACUUGAACCUGACAAGAUUUGUAUUGGGACUUAGGAGAGUUAAAGUGACCUGAGUCACUAUAGAUAUGUUGAGAACACACUCCCGUAUUUUUGUGUAUGGGAGCUAAUAAUGUUCACUGUCUAAAACUUCAUGCUCUGCCGUUUUCCAUUUUCUUUAUGCACCACAGUGUGAAUUUCUUAUGCGUUGUUAACAUGAACUCUGACAAAUCUCACUCAAAUUAUACUAGGAAUUAUUAGUCCUUUGAAAUAAAGACUGCCACUUAAAUUUCUGUCCUUGCUAUCCGAGGCCACUGGCUUUCAUAUUUCUGAGUUUUCUCUUCAAUUUAAACAGCAAUUUAGAAAUUAAUGAACGAUGAUGCUGUGUCUUGGGAAUGUUAUUCUAUGCUGUUUUGAAGUUAGUUCUAUGCAUUGUUUUAAUACAGGAUUUAAUUAUGUAACACAAUGAGUGCAAAUAGUGUUGUUCUUCAUACUGUUUUUUGCCUUGCAAUACUGCAUCAGAUGUUUUCUGAAAGCAAGACAAAUCUGCAUAUCUCGGUGAGAAAUUUAAAACCAAGUCCAGUCUGCUUGUUUUCUUGUCCCUCCUGGAAUACAAGAUUAUCACAGGAAUUUUGAAUGAAUGAAAAAAAUCAAGUGAACAGAUAUUUCCUUUCCUGGCAUGCAUUUAGUUGCUAUCACAUACCUAUCUGUUUUUGAACUUAGAAAAAAUGGUUUUUAAAUGCUCAGUCGUUAAUUUAUUUUUUUCUAUCUGUCAAGCAUAGGCUAUAUAUUAUCUUGAGAAAGGUGAAUCAGUCUUCGUUGCAGCCCAUACUUCAGCAGGAAAGACAGUUGUUGCCGAGUAUGCAUUUGCUUUAGCAACAAAAGUAUGACUUCCUUUGCUCUUUCUUCUUCUUUUUUGGCACUUCUGUUUAUUUGAAACCGCCUAUCAUCUUCCACACCUAUAGCUUGUAAACCCUGAGGCUCAGCACCAGCUUUGGUUAGAAGGAAAGCUUUAACUUAGCAUUACUCUUUGCUUUGAGAAGUGUGCAAUUCUUAAUUUCUGAUAAGAUUUCACUUUUACUUUUGUUAGUUGAUCAAUAUUUAGACUACAUACUUCAGUGAACUAUCUCUCGUUACUUACCAUAGUAGUUGGUUUAAAACCACACCCAAUAAAAAGAAAAAUGUUACAUGGGUCUUUUGAUGACAUAUAAUCUUGUUAUGCAGCAUUGUACUCGGGCUGUCUAUACUGCUCCUAUUAAAACUAUCAGCAACCAGAAAUACCGAGAUUUCUCUGGGAAGUUUGAUGUAGGACUUCUGACAGGAGAUGUCAGUAUCAGGCCAGAGGCAACUUGUUUAAUUAUGACUACUGAAAUAUUGCGCUCAAUGCUCUACAGAGGUGCGGACAUUAUACGCGAUAUUGAAUGGGUAAUCGACUUCAGUCCUAAUUUAUUCAUACUGUUCUGUGGCUUUAAUUUUAAAUAUCAUUUUAUAAUUUAUUAGUGCUGAUGUGUGGUAACUAUACAAUCAGGUAAUCUUUGAUGAAGUGCAUUAUGUAAACGACGCUGAAAGAGGUGUAGUUUGGGAGGAGGUUAUUAUAAUGCUCCCGAAGCACAUUAACAUUGUUCUUCUUUCGGCAACGGUACGGAUUUAAUGAAAACCGCACUUUCCGCUACACUCACUAUCAAUCAAACAUUCUGUGCACACCAUUGGCUGUUCUGACAGUUGCUCAAUAAUAGUUAGGACAGUAUAACAUCCUGAUGCCAUUUGUAGUUGCUUUUGAUCUUUUGAAAUAGUUGAUGCAUAACUCUAAUCUUAGGUAAAUUUUGCUAGGAAGUGCAAUUGUCGCUGUCCAAGUUAUUUAGUAUGCAAAUAUUAUCUCAUAAUGCGAUCACCCUGAUUUCUGAUACUCAUGCAACAAAAUGACAUGUUCGCUGAUGUUAUUCAUUCAAAUUUUGGAUGCUUGUAUUCAAUCGAAAAUUGAAAUAGUACUGCAUGGAAAUAGUAUAACUGAAAAUUGGCCCUCUAACUAUGAGCUAGGGUUAAUAUAAUAAUUUAAUGCAAAAAUUACCAUUUGGCUGCAUUGCAAUAAUUGAAAUUUCUUUUGCUUGCUAUGAAUAAAGUUUGAGAACUCUCUGUUAUUUCUCUUGUUCAAAUUUACUAGGGAGUUGAAGUGUUGAACCCUAAUUGUUUCUUCGCAGGUUCCAAAUACAGUUGAAUUUGCUGACUGGAUUGGUCGAACAAAGCAGAAGAAAAUUCGUGUCACUUCGUAAGUGCAGUUAGUAUGAAUUUUUAGCUACUUACACCAUAGGCCCUUGUUACCAGUUGGUUUAGCCACCAGGCCGGUUAGAAUUACCCAAUUAGCUUCUUUCUCUAUUCUAGUCAAUUGGUACAUGGAAUCUAACUUGCUAGAAAUUGGAUGCAUGAAAAUGAGAAAAUAUCGGUGGUACGACUACUAUCACGGGAGUGUUAUUUUACCAACCAUUCAUUUCAGUUGUUUUCCAUGACAGAAUUGAGGGUGGCUGCAGCCAUUAAAUACAUGUACUCAAUUGUAUAAGAGGGAAACUAAUAGGUUAGGAUUGCUGGUACGAUAUCAAAUGCAUAUAAGCUGCAAGACUAGAAAAAAUAAUGUCUUAGGCCCUGUUUGUUUCAGCUUGUAGAUUAUGAAAAGCAGCUUGCAGAUCGUAACAACCUACAAUCUGGGGGGAGCAUAUUGUUGGAUUUUAACAAUCUUGCCUGUGGAUGCCGGAUGGUUACAGUCAGGGGGUGUGAAAAUGCUUAUUUUUUUUUCGGCUUGUGAUUUUGAAAUCUACAAUCCCAAGCUGAAACAAACACGCUUGGCCUUGGAUUUGAGGAUAUAUGAAAAUAAUUUGAGCAAGUAGAUGCAUGCUAUCCAAGGACAACGAUUGUCCUAUGUACCGCAAUGGAAGAUGAUUGUAGAAAAGGGUUUCUCCUCUGUUUGUUAAUAUAGAUGAUUAAUGAAAUUAGAUCGCGACAAAUUGCUAACAUUGCACAAAAAUGAUACAUUAAUAGGCCAAAACCUGGUAGCAUCUUAGUUAGGAUUUUAGAUCAAUAUGAUACAUAUUGGUUGGUUAACAUUUUGAAUUUAAGAUGCCAAUCUUGAUUGAUUCAACUUAAUGCCAAGACACCUAUAUAAUAGUUACAAAAUUGGACAAACCUGAGUGGUGGAACCCAAAGGGCCAUGCUUUAAUUAAACAAACUCAGUUGAGGGGUACAAAUGAACUCAGUUGGUUUAAAGGGACUUGAUUGCACAUAAGUGGAUAAUAUAGGGGAUUUGAUCAAUAAUAUUAGACUAUAGGGGUUUGUUGCAGAAUGCUGAACUGUUAAGUGGCUAAUAGUGUAGUUUUGCCUUAUGUUCAAAAUUUGAAUAUUCUUGGACACCUACAGCUCUAAUUUUGAUCACACAGUACUGUUAUUAUGUCUUUACCAGGACCAACAAAAGGCCUGUUCCGCUUGAGCAUUGCUUGUUCUACUCUGGAGAAGUGUACAAAAUAUGCGAGAGGGAUACCUUUCUUACUCAAGGAUUUAGAGAAGCAAAAGAUUCUUUCAAAAAGAAAAAUUCGAACAAGCUUGGAGUGAAACCUGGUCCAAAGUCAGGAACCCCUGCAGUACGUGCUGGAACUCAAGGCAAAAACCCAGAUACAUCAAACAGGGGGAGAGAUCAGAAGUACCCAAAGCACCACAAUGCCAAUUCAGGAUCAGCAGCGGUUCCACAAAGCUCCUCAGGGCCAAAGAGACCAGACUCUUCAUUUUGGAUGCCGCUUGUGAAUAACCUUCUGAAGAAAUCCCUAGUGCCUGUAUGUGAGAGAAUAACUUUUGUGAUUUCUCUAUCAUGCGAUCAUGACAUUAUUUGUUCUGUUGGACCUCUUUCUUGUUCAUCAUUUACAUUGAAUUCGUUUCAUUCUUCAUUUGUAUGCUGAAACCAAUCUCAACCUGUCGUGAAAUGACAAUUACUCUCAACAUUUGGUUAUGGGUUCUACUUGUCCCUUUUAUCAAAAUCUUAUCAUGUCAUUUCACAUUUGACAAAAGGUUUAUCUGAUCAUUGAGAUGGUCCUUUGCAGGUGGUGAUCUUUUGUUUCUCAAAGAAUCGUUGUGAUAGAUCGGCAGAUAGCAUGUUUGGCGCUGAUCUCACCAGUAGUUCGGAGAAAAGUGAAAUCCGUGUCUUCUGUGACAAGGUGUUUUCACGCCUUAAAGGAUCUGAUAGGAACCUUCCACAGGUGAUCUAAUAGCUCAUAAAAUUUAGUGCUGUACCCCUGUGAGCCUUUGCUUCAAUCAGUGCUUUAAGCUUUGACCUCCUUCAUAGGUUGUGGGAAUACAAAGCCUUCUACGAAGAGGAAUUGGAGUGCACCAUGCUGGGCUUCUCCCUAUUGUGAAGGAAGUAGUUGAGAUGCUAUUCUGUCGUGGUGUGAUCAAGGUUAUGCUUUGAACAUCUGGAUGCUGUUUUACCAAGUACUAACCAAUGCAGCAGCUCUUCGCCCCCGCCCCCGGCCCGCCCCCCCCCCCCCCCCCCCCCCCCCCCCUCCUCUUUUUUUCUUUUUUCGUGAUGCCAUUUGUCAUAGUAGUUUCACUUGAAGCUGUUAGGAAACUAGUCCAUGCAUGAACUCUAGUAUAUGAGACUGUUGGAUGUUUGCUGGAUUUGGAACAAAAAAUUGUAAAUGCUGACCACUGGCUUAAGUCCAUCCUGUCCGAAGUUGCUGCAGUUAUGCACAACCCAUACCAUGCACAGAAGGUGUUCUUUAACUUGAAACAGUAUUAGAGAAACGAUAUUUGUGAUCACAUCACAGUUUCGUCAGUUGCUCCUGAAAAGUUCCCUUAAAAAAAAAUGCUCGUGAGAAAUAUAGCAUGUUCUGGCACAAUCGUCUCUUAGUUAACUGAAUGGUAAAAGUUUUGACUCUCUUGAACUCAUUGCAGGUACUGUUUUCCACUGAAACAUUUGCAAUGGGUGUUAAUGCACCAGCAAGAACGGUGAGAUUCUAUUUGUGCCUAAUAAAGUGUUUCAAUGCAAGUAUGUUGAACAAAUCUCUCUAGUAUUUAUUAGUGUACCAUUCGUGUCUAUGUUAUGUGGUACCACUUGCAUUCCACUAUCUACUAAUUAAUUUUAUUUGUGUUAUUUCAACCAUGGGAAUACAAUUCCUGUCAUUUUCCUGAUGAUACACAAUCUCUUUCAAAUUCAUUGUAGUUUCAUGAAAGGUACAACUGGGGAUAUCUAAGCGUAGAUAGCAAUUCAAUUUAUACGAUGGCACUAUGAACUGCAGGUUGGCAUGCUUUAAUUCAACAUGCCUUGGAUGCAACCACCUUUUCAUGCACUUAACUUGACAACAUUUAUUUACAUGUUUCUGUUUCUACAUAUUCUGUUGUUUGCUGUUUACUGUUACACGUGAUGCAUUGCUCAGCAUUUCUUUGUUGGAAAGAGAACUCAUCUAAACAUUGAUGCUCGAGACACACAGCUGCAUGCCUUGAUUCCUUGUUUCUUUGUGCACUUUUGGAUUCAGCGAACUGUAACUAUGCUUAGGCUGCACUUGCUUUUCCCACGCCUUUAAGCUGAGGAUUGCGUAGCUGGCUCUGAGCGCAUUUUUGUUAACCCAACAGGUUGUAUUUGAUUCCUUAAGAAAGUUUGAUGGAAAAGAACACCGAAAAUUGCUUCCAGGGGAGUAUAUUCAAAUGGCUGGACGAGCUGGUAGGAGAGGACUUGAUAACAUUGGUACAGUGAUCAUUAUGUGUCGUGAUGAAAUUCCUGAAGAAAGUGAUUUGAAAAAUUUGAUUGUUGGAAAACCAACUCGAUUGGAAUCUCAAUUUCGAUUAACAUACACUAUGAUACUACAUCUUCUACGUGUGGAGGAGCUGAAGGUAUACCUAUGAACACUUAUCAUUGUACUUGGUUUGUUAGACUUUCUUCUUUUUUCAAUUUCAGCUCCAUAUUUGAUAUGGAUUUGCACCUGGGCCUGCUCAAUCAUCUUUUGAUUCCUUAUACCUGUCGGCAUCCAGGCACAUGUCAUAAAGAUACACAUUUGAAUUUUGGAGUUAGGACUGAAAAUAGAAUUAGACAAGACAAUAUUCAUAUCACCCUCUGUGCUUCUCUAAAGUACUUCAUAUUUUCUGUGUGUAUGAUGAAUGUGUGAAAAUCAAUAUGGUAGAAGCAUUUCUGGAAUAAAGGCUUCCCCUAUGUAUUCAGCAUGUUAAGGGUAGUUGUGUAAUAGUAUGUGUGGGUUAUGGAUAUUUGUGGUACUGCCCUUAACUACAUAUGGUUGCCCAUUGGGCUCUUGAAAUGCCACUUAAGUCUUCCCUUAAACAUAGUAGCAAACUACCAGGUGAAGCCCUAACAUCAGACUAUUACACUACUACCCUCUUUUGAUGUUUACAGUUACAAUUGGCACUUCUUUUCAUGGGCGUGGGAGGAAAAUACAGUAGAUUGCACUAUGGCAAUUUUACUUCCAAUUGGAAUGUAUUUCAUACAUGACACCACCUUGUUAAAUUUCUUUCUCUUUGAUUUGACUAUUCAGUGGGGGGGGGGGGGGGGGGGGGGGGGGACAAGGCACUCUUUUUCUGUCACUAGCAGUUUUCUGUUUUUAUGAGCAUGCACACUCCAAUAGUCUGCUUUUGGACAUCAGCAUUUUCAAAGACAAUCUAGAAUCAACUUUCCAAAAAGCCGAAGCUCAAACAAAUAGGCCCUUACUCAUGCAGUGUUACUUUCAUCUCAAGUGUACUUUGUGUAGGUUGUAACUGGAUACUUCACUUAAAUUACCAAUAUUUUUAGUAAUGGAAAACACUAGAAAAGAAUGUUGUGUAGACCCUUAGUCAUGCUCAGGGAAAGUAAUAUACUUUAAUGAUGAUUUUUCUUAUAGGUUGAGGACAUGCUCAAGAGAAGUUUUGCAGAAUUCCAUGCACAAAAGAAUUUGCCAGAGAAGGAAAAGCUACUUCUACAAAUGCUUCGUCAACCUACAAAGACAAUAGAGUAAGAUACUGAGACAUACUCAUGUUUACCUGAUUAAUACAAUGGAUACCAACACAUUGAAUGUGAAAUUGCAGAUUCGACAUAAAAAUGGAAACAGAAAGUAGUGAAGUUUUAUUGACAUAAAAUGAUAAAAAGCUAAAACUUGAAGAAUUGGUGUUUUAUUUAUGAUUUUGGUAGGCAAAUUCUAGAACCAAUAUCUCUUUUAGUAUAGGACUACCACUGCUUUGGCACAAUGAAUAUGUGAGAAGCAAUAAACAAAUAAAUGAAUGAUUUUUUUCCCAAUCUGCCCUAGUGUUCCUUUUUUUCUCCGCAUGUUGCACUUGCGUACUGUGAAGAAGUUUGUCUAAAUUGAAAUAACAAGUGCACAUGCAAUCUAGUAAUAGGCUAGUAGCAUUAUUUUGUAGCCAAGUUUAGGAGUAGUGACGAUGAUUGGGUUACAUAAAUGCAGAAAUGUAGAUAUUGAACUUGGAUAGGCUUAGAACUGCGCAUAGCUCCAAAAUGUUGGGGAGCCUAUCAGAAAGAGCCAUGGGAUUUGACCAAAACGAUUGUCUUGUUAGAAGGAAAUUUUUGCUAUCAGAUAGCCCUAUCUCUGAUCCAUGGGUCGGUGAACGAAUGGGUUUCGGGAAAUAGAGAACAUGGACGUUUCCUUCUCAACUUUGGAUGUUAGCACCCAAUCAGUCUGUCUAGCAAUGUAGGCAUUUUUGGUUCUCUUUUUUGUUUUCAUAAUUUCGUUGCAUUGUUCUACAUGUGGCAGUGUAUGAUAAGCUUUCAUUGUACAUCUGAAGUACUGAUUAUCCAGUAUUUAUAUGUGCACUGAUUUUAGUUUUUUUUAAUCUCUUUGCCUUAUAUUAUAUGUGUAUUGUUGUAUUAUCAGUUGCAUAAAAGGAGAGCCUUCAAUUGAAGAAUACUAUGAGAUGGCAUUAGAAGCUGAGGCACAUAGGGAAUCUAUAACAGAAGCAAUCAUGCAGUUGCCCAGUACUCAACAGUUCCUUAUGCCUGGGAGAUUGGUGGUCGUUAAAUCUGAAUCUGUAUGCCUUCAUCAUAUUUGGUUUUCUCUUUACACACUUCCUCAUUUUCUGUCAGUUCCUUUUGGCAGUGAUUUUUAUUUACAUAGUUGCAGUACUUUACUUUGCAACACUCAACUGUUAUAAAAACUCAAUAAAAAGUUGGCUUGGCAGUUGGGACUCUAGGUCUUCUAUAUGUAUUAGCAAGGAUACGUAAGUAGCGCAUAAAGAAAUACGAAAAACUUAAAGAAACCAAUGCAUUUUUUAAUGUUCCAAAUUGAAGUUUAAAACCUCUAGUUAAAUUAUUAUCAAACAUCCGAUCCAAACUCCAAAAGGAAUUACUAAAAAUCAUGUGACUUUAGAAUACACAAGCAUGAUACCGUUACUAACCUUGAGGGUUUCAAAGUAUACUGUCUAUCCCACUAGGGGAGAUGGAUAUAUAGAGUCCUCAUGGGCCAUAUGGGCCUUCAAUAUAGAUGGGCCUUGAUAUACUUAACACCCCCCCUUCAAACUCAAUGUGGAAGUGGAGGAGCUGAAACAUUGAGUUUGAGCAAGUGAAGCCGAUGUUGUUCUCGAGUUUGUGCCUUAGUGAAGAAAUCUGCCACUUGCAGCUCUGAGGGCACAUAUUGAAGAGCAAUUGUUUUCUGAUGACAUAGCAAGCUGCCAUUCCGGAAGACUAGAAGCUUCCUGAUAUGUGGAUGGCUCAUAAACAACAACAUUCACAUAGGGAAAACCAUACUUGUCUUCAGGAUGAAUAGUACUACGAUCUCUUAGAUUAUAUCGUGGACCAGCAUGUAACUCAUCAACAAUAUGUGACUCAUCAACAUUAUUAUCAGAAGCAUCAAGAGCGGGUGUGUCAGGACUAGCCGAGGUGGUAGAACUAGAAGGAAGUUCAAUGGGAGCUUUGGGACGACGACGGAAAAAGUGUGUGAUAGGUGGUUUUGAAAAAGGCGCAUGUGAAAGAGGUGGAGGUGGUGGAGGAGGCGCAUGUGAAGGUGGUGGAGGAGGUGUAGGUGGCUCAUAGAGAGGAGGCGUGAUGAAAAUAGAAGGAUCACGAAUGGAUUCGGAAGGUGAAGUGACAUCACUCGUGGAUGAAAUAGGAGGAAGACACAUAAAAGAUGUGGACUCUGUGGGAGAAUAUGAGGGUUGUGUAGAGGGGUUAUAAAAGAAAGGAUGGUCCUCAACAAAGGUCACAUCACGAGAGAUACGUAUGCGAUGUGACGAAGGAUCAUAGCAGCGAUAACCUUUAUGCUCAAGACUAUACCCCAGAAAAACACACUCAGCAGAUUGCGCAGUCAACUUAGUACACUCACAAGGGGCAAGCAAAACAUAGCAUGUACAGCCAAAAACUCGGAGAUGGUCAUAGCUGGGAGGGGUACCAAAAAGUACCUCACCAGGACAUUUGUCAGACAGUUUGGAUGAGGGUUGUCUGUUUAUGAGGUAUACAGCAGUGGAGACAGCUUCACUCCAAAAAUGAGAAGGAACAAAAGAGGAAAUCUAAAGUGUGCGAGCUGUCUCUAUAAGAUGGCGAUGUUUACAUUUAGCAACACCAUUUUGUGCAUGAGCACCAGGACAAGAGAGCUGAGCAAGAGUACCUUCAGAGGACAAAAAUUGGCGAAAAACAUCAGACACGUACUCACCACCAGAGUCAGCGAAAAACUCUAAUAUGAGUGGAAAAUUGUGUGUGAACCAUGCGAGUAAAAGACUGGUAUAUGGAGCACCACUGUGAGCGGUGUUUCAUGAAAAAAAUCCAUGUAUAUCUAGAAUGAUCAUCAAUAAAAAUGACAUAAUAUUUGUGAGGACCACCCUUUGUAGCAAAAGGUGCAGGACCCCAUACAUCUGAAUGAAUAAGAUCAAAAGAUCUAGUAGAAUGGGAAGCACUAGAGGAAUAUGGAAGUUGUAUUUGUUUUCCAAGCUUACAACCCUUACAAUGAAAACUAGACUCAUAGAUGUAUGGCCUAAACAGCCUUUAUUUAUUAGUGUAGACAAACGAGACCCACAAAGAUGACCAAGAUGAUGAUGCUACUUGGCGAAGGACGAAGUGGAUGAACAUGCAGCGGAUGACACGCACGGAAGGCUGAGGGAGAUGCAAUGUGUCGAGAACAUAGAGGCUAGGGGAACCUUUACGGCGAUGGCCAGUCCCAAGCACAGUCCCGGUCCGACGAUCUUGAAUAAAACAAGACGAGUCAUCAAAUCCAACAAAACAAUUGUGAUCGGUUACUUGACCAACUGAGAGAAGGUUCAUGGACAAUUUAGGUACAAGAGAGACAUUAGGCAUAGAAAAUGAGAAGUACAAAGAGAACCCUCAUGAGUGAUAGAACAGGAUGUACCAUCUGCAGUCUGAAUAGAGGCACCAUCAUUAACUGACUUGUAACCAAGAAGCUGGGACCAGUCAGAUGUCACAUGAAAGGAGGCCCCUGAAUCAAGCACCCAAGAUGAUGAAGAAGCACUGACAGGUGAAGCAGCAGCAAAAGACACAGCCUCUAGGAGUAGGUGUUGUACCACGACCAUGAGCAGCGCGAGCAGCCCUCCGUGCACGAAACUCAGCCAACUUCUCCGGAUGCUCAGAAAAACAAUUUUCUGCAGUAUGAGAAGUCUUUCCACAGUGCUUACAUGGCUCUGAAGAAGUACCUUUAGGUGUACUGAACCUCUGAGAAGCUGCCAACAAACUGUGAGAUACUGACAUAGAUGCAACAGACAUAGACCGAAGGCGAGUCCCUUCAGCAAUUAACUCAGACAAAGCACGUGCCAUGGUUAAGUUAGGAGAAUCAUGUAACAGCCUUUUACGAAGAGAAUCAAAUUCUUCCCUUACUCCCAUGACAAAGCGAUAUACAAAGAACUUCUCAAUAAAUUUGUGUGCUGGACACUGAUCAGCAGCACAAGCACCUAUCAUGGAGGUCAAAGAGCCUACCAGACGAUCAAAGGCUGAGUAGUAAUCAUCAAUGGACAUAUCAUUCUGCUCAAUUGUUUGAGUUUGCUGCAUGAGAGUAUGUAGAAGGGCACCACUGUCCUGAACAAAUCUAUCCUUCAGGGCAGACCAAAUGGCUUUGGCUGUUUUAAACUUAGAUAGACUCAUAAUCAUAGAUUGCUUAGUACUGUUGACCAUGGCAGCCAUCACUUUCCCAUCACUAAUUUGCCAAUCAGUGACUUCUUUAGCAUUACUACCAUCAGUCUUAAGUGCAGGUGCAUCAUCAGUUAAAUGAAAAUAGAGCCAGGGCCCCUAAAAGCAGUUUCUACACAGAAAGCCCACUCAGGAUAAUUGUGACCAUCUAGAGUGAUACUGACAACAAUUGCAUCUAUCUGUGACAUGUUGAAAACCUCUAGGAUAUGACCAACAGCAGAGAAAAGCAGAGGAACAGAUAUCACCGGGAGUAGAAUCAGCAGAGUACCACCGUACAGAGGAAGUCACCACAGCAGAGUACCACCGUGCAGAGUGAAGAUUGAAUCCGCGAUAGGCGGAUCGGGUGGCACACAGCGUAUAGACGUGCGGAAGACGGCACAUGGCGCGACCAGACGAGUCAAGGGGGACGCACGAGAGGCAGCACAGACAAGCCGCGACAGCGGCUGUGAGGAGCCGCGACGGGUGGCGGGGACGAGCCACGACGGGCGGCGGAGAGACGGCGCGACGUCAAGCGCGCGGAAUGAUGGAAAAAAAUGGAUCUCGGGUGGAUUAGAUUAGACCUAAUCCUAACCCUAAACCAUGCUCUGAUACCAUGCUACUAACCUUGAGGGUUUCAAAGUAUACUGUCUAUCCCAAUAGGGAAGAUGGAUAUAUAGAGUCCUCAUGGGCCAUAUGGGCCUUCAAUAUAGAUGGGCCUUGAUAUACUUAACAGAUACUAUCUUUGGUUGGAACUAAUCUUGAGCUUGAAAACAAGCUUAGCUUGAGAUCAGCUUAUUCUUUGUUUAAGGUGAACUAAAUUUCCGUGCUUAGCACCUCCACUUUUAAUGCUGAGAACUAAAAUUAAACAGGCAAUUUAAGCAAGUACUUUAGAAGGUUCUAUUUAUUUGGCUUGGAGGCUACCAUUCUAUCAUUAAUACCAUAACCAUAUGUUUGAACAAGCCUGAUUAUUUUCAUAUUUUGAACAUUGUUGGGCCCCCGUCUCUGGUUACUGUUACAUGUGCUAUAGCUGCAUCUUUUCCACAUUUAAACCCUAUGUUUUUUAACAUAUUGACAGGAUGAUGAUCACUUACUUGGUGUUAUACUGAAAUGUCCAUCGCAAACACUAAAUAAAUACAUUGUCCUUGUAUUGACUGGUGAUUGCACUUCAUCUGCGUUAUCCCCUGUGUUGUCCAAUAAAACUGAAAAGGAACCUGGGGAUUUCCAACAAGGACACUUUAUUAUCCCGAAAGGAAAACGUGGCAUGGAGGAUGAGUAUUUCUCAUCUGGCAGCUCACGAAAAGGUUCAGUUGUUAUCAAAAUCCCCCUACCAUACAAGGGGGAUGCAUCUGGAAUGGGCUUUGAAGUAAGAGCAAUAGAGAAAAAAGAGAUCAUGAGUAUAUGCACCUGCAAAAUAAAGAUUGAUCAAGUCAAACUCCUUGAGGAUUGUAGCAAAGCUGCUUACUCCAAAACUGUCCAACUGCUUAUAAAAGAGCAACCAGAUGGAACUAAGUAUCCUCCUGCUUUAGAUGCAAUAAAAGGUACAAAUUUUCUGCAUGGCUAGAGUAUUUGUUUUGUGCUAUCUUAUUGAAAUUUCGAUUGGCUAGCAAAGGACUCGGCUAUUUAAACAGUGUUCUAGUCUUUCAGAUUUUCUUAUGAUUCUGUUAGUCUUGUAAGUUGGACAGGGUAAAUGGGUGCUCUCAUGCAUUCUCGUGGCUUUACCACCAAACUCCUAAGCAUUUGUUUGGAUCUGGCAAAAUUUGAGUGACCUAAGAGAUAUAAUAUUUGGAAAAUGCAAAUGGAUAUGGUAAAGAAUUUGACCAUUUAUGUUGUAACUGUGAUUAGGUUGUGCUGAACCAUCCGAAUAUUCUAGUUAAAACUCAAAACCAAGUGAUGCUGUACUUGAAAUGCCAUAUGUUUAUCUUAAAUUAUGUGCACAAUUUUUUUUCCCUAGUCUGUUACUUUUCUGGUCUUAGAGAGAUGAGUGGGUUAGAAAAUAAUUCAACGGCAUUGGCAUUUUUGUUCAAAAAUUAUAGAAUGGCAUGAAUGUGUUGGCCUGCAUGCCUGUGAAGUUCUUGAGUAAUAUCAGCACAUAUAUUACAUUUACAUUUUUCAUUCUGAAUCUAGGACUAUUGUGGCGGAUCAUUUAGUCCCACACACUGACUUCCUCUAGUUGUUUUAUAAACUUUAUAACUACUUACUGUGGUCAUUUGGUGCAAUACAGAUCUAAAAUUGAGGGACAUGCAUUUUGUUGAAAGAUACAUUGCAUAUCACAGACUACUGCAAAAAAUAUCUGAAAACAAGUGCCAUGGUUGUAUAAAACUAAAGGAGCAUAUAUCAUUGAUGAGGGAGCAAAAGAUGUACAAGGAUCAGCUGAAUGAAUUGAAAUUCCAGAUGUCAGAUGAGGCGCUUCAACAGAUGCCGGAGUUUCAAGGCAGAGUAAGACUUCUUCAUGUACUCUUUCCUCUUGUUGCCCUGUUGUAUACAUGAAGGAAAACGGUUCAAGGGAUUAUAGCCAUUAUCUGUGCAGCAUGGGAAAAAACACCCGAUAUUGUCGUUUCUUCGAUUGCUUUGCGUUGGGUGUACAUGGGAUGUUUUUAGUCCCAGUCCUACUGUACCAGAACAACAGUUUGGGUAUUGAUUCAAAAUGCUGGCCUUAUUAACAUUAAGGAGUCAUAUCUACCAAUCCAUACAGGAUCACAAAGUUUCAUGCAAAUCAUUAAGACCUAGAUGAAUGUCCAUACAGGAUUCUUAAGACCUAAGUUCACAUGAAAUCCUUAUAUGGCUAUCAUCAGCCUUUUCAAGAAUGAAAUAUAUCCCGCGAACUACAUCUGACUCCAUUUCUAUUUCUAUACCUUUGAGGUUAUUUCUAACACUUCAAUUUUUCCAUCGUUGCAGAUUGAUGUACUAAAGGUAAUCAACUACAUUGAUUCUGAUCUAGUUGUGCAACUUAAGGGACGAGUAGCCUGUGAAAUGAACUCAGGAGAGGAGUUAAUAUCCACAGAAUGUCUGUUUGAGAAUCAAUUGGAUGACCUAGAACCUGAAGAAGCUGUGGCCAUUAUGUCUGCAUUCGUCUUCCAACAGAGGAAUGCAUCAGAACCAUCUCUUACUCCAAAAUUGGCUGAAGCCAAAAAGAGGUUAUAUUUUGUUUUUUGCUCCCCUAUUUUAGUUCCUGUCAUGAUCCAUCUUAAGAAUCUCAGCUGUAUUUCCUCAGAAGACAUGUUUGAAGGACCUUUUGCUCUUGUGGUUUUGUCUGUAUUAGGCUUUAUGACACGGCAAUCAGACUAGGACAGCUCCAAGCACAGUUCAAGGUGCCUGUGGAUCCCGAGGAGUAUGCACGUGACAAUCUCAAGUUUGGCCUUGUUGAGGUUGUCUACGAGUGGGCAAAGGUACAAACAUCAUCACAGGAAACACUUCUCCAAGAUGAAUACUGGAUUGAAAUGCCAUUUUCUGUUACAUCGAUGCAGGGAACACCUUUCGCCGACAUAUGUGAGCUGACAGAUGUAUCCGAGGGGCUCAUUGUAAGAACGAUCGUUCGGCUGGAUGAAACAUGCAGAGAAUUCAGGAAUGCAGCUUCGAUAAUGGGGAACUCUGCGCUGUACAAGAAGAUGGAGGUCGCGUCCAAUGCUAUUAAGCGUGACAUUGUGUUUGCAGCAAGCUUGUAUGUCACAGGAAUCUGAUACCUGUAAGCUUGUACUCGCUUUUGCCGUUGUUAGAGAAAUUCCUUCCCUGCUGUGGUGGAUCUCCAAUUUGUCGGCGUAAGCCUAGCCGUAGUAAGAACCAAACAGCUCGAUGGCAUGAAAGAAUGAUGUCUAAUGGAAGUUGAACAUGCUCGUCAGCAGGCCUAAAAUCUGGAUAGUGAUAUGAAUUUGAUGCCUACUGCAAUGCGAAACUAGACUGCGAAGCUGAUGCAGAGCUAUAAAAGCUUGGGUAACUGCCAAUCUUAUCUUAGGAACAAUCUACGUAAAGAAUCAUCCUUGGUUUGAUAUUUUUUAACCCUGUUCAAUAAAUCUUGCGUGCACCUCUUGCUCGCCGCUCCCGCUCCGCCGCGGGGCGCGCACCGAAGGCAAAGUCCUAGCAUGACAUGGCAUAUCGUCUCAACACUGCCGCUCCGUCGAGCAUUCUAUCGAGUGCGUGGGCCGCGACCUCCCAAACUGGGCCGUGUGGGAACACCCAAGCCCAAAACGACAGAAAGUUGCAGCGCUCAAAACAUGGUAUCGUGAACAAUUGCGGGCAUAUCGUCUGUAUAUUUUGAUUAAUCUUUAUUUAAGUAACGUAAAUCCGAAAUAGUUUAACAAAUUCUUUGCGAUUCGUGAAACUGAAACGUUCUUCUUGCACAGGAAGCAAACCACCCCAGCUGGAAAACCCCCCUCUGAACCCACGGCGCCGCCGGAGCCACGAGCCCACGGCGUGACGGUGCGGAGCAACCCGUUCUCCUGCAGCAGGAUCAAAUCCCCCGUCCGGCGAAGCGACGCGGGCGGCGACCACGAUGACGGCGCGCGCGUCCCACCUCCGCGCGCUCCUCUCGCGAGCGUUCGCUCCCAGCCUUCCCCCUCCUCCCGCUCGAGCUCUGCAUCAGGUAAUCUUUACGUCUCUCUCUCGUCCGUGGCGUUGGCCGAGAGCGGGAUCUUCUCGUACCCUUCAGGUAGCGACGCUGGGAUUUCGUGAUUAGUUUUGGUUUUGUUCCUGCUGCAGAUCGCGGGGCUGGGUGCGCCUCAGCUCGGAGCGGCGUUCCUGGGACGCGCGCGCUUCUUCUCCGCCGACGCCUCGACUGCGGCGGCGCAGGGUGGGUCAAAGGCCCCAGCGGCGGCGGCGGCGGCGGCGACGGGCGGGGAUAGAGGGGGUGAUGGGCAGUCUGGGAAAUCUGAGCAAGGGGACGCCGGAAAAUCCGUCCGCGGAGGGGUGAGUUAUGGCUUGCAAUCUCAAUUGGUACUGGAUUGUUAUGCAGGGGCAAGUAUGCACGAUUGCUUUGAAAUCUUUCAUUUGAUACGAAUUAGUAGUGAUGAUCUAGCGCCCAGCUAGAGGAUGAUUCUCAUUUCCGCAAGGCAUUCCUUGUAGUAGACUGUCAGGGCAUUCCUCAUUUGACACGAAUUGCUUUCUUGCAGCCGGUGUCGUGGCUCAGUUUUCUACUGCUGCUCGUGACUGGAGGAGGGAUAAUCGUGUACUACGACCAAGAAAAGAAGCGUCACAUUGAAGGUAGAUUACUAUGGUGAGUUGGUGUUAUUGUUUGAUGUCAUGCUAGGACUGCAUCUAGCGGUAAACAGAACCGCGUUGUUUGUGUUGGUACCAAGAUGUGUUGAAUGGAGGAAACAGCAACAGCAGUUAGCCAAAGUGGAAGAGGUUAUGUUGAGCCAAUCAGCCAAAGCAGUUCUGUUGUGAGUGGAUUUCACAUAGGUCACAGGGUUCGGUUGAGUCAUCAGAUAUUUUUUAAAUUAUAUUGAAGCAGUAGUUUAACCUAGUAUAUACAUCCUUUAUAAAUAUUGAACUGUCUAGUUAAAUUCCACUGCUCGAACUCCUUCGCAAAAUUUCUGGCUAUGCUUUGUAAUGUUAUGCCAUGGCUAUAUGGGAUGCUGCAAUGUUGUGCAUGUGGUAUGCACAUGCACUGAAGGGUCAUGAGUGUCAUGCUGGUGAUGAACUGAUGGGUACAAACUACAAAGUGACAUUCAAACUGUAGUAGAUUUUCAGUUGAUUGGCUUCCGAAUCUAUUUUUUUUCUUGAGAAUUCAGCCUCUGAGUCUUACUGAUUCCCCAUGUCAAUAGCUUCCAAUUUCCCAGCACAAGUGCUGCACCUUGCUAUUAUACCUACUUACUAAAAUUUGAUGUUCUGGAAUGCAUUAUUUUGUUUGCCACAUUCUGUUCACACAAUAAAAACACAUUGUCUCAUGUUUGUUCUUAUGUCCACUUUAUUCAGUAUUUCUGUUUGCUGAUCUAGGAAUUUUAGAGCUUCUAUUUAUUCUCAGAUCCUGCUUUUACUGAUACAAGUUCUAUAAAAAACUGUAUACAGUACGCAUCUUUUCGUCUGAAAAGUUCUUUUUUUUUUGGGGAAAAAACGUGGUGACUAUCAAUGGAAUCAUCAUUAAGGGAAGAGACAUACUAAAUUUGUGUCAGCCAUGUUGAGCAAUCUAAGGAGGACCAAUUUACGAUUUCGAACAUUUCUUGUCAGUUCUCAUAUCAUCACUAUAUGUCUCUAUAUAAAAUGGCGAGCCAUACCUUGCCAGCUGCCUAAGCUUGCCCCGCCCUAUAUGCCUUUAGCAACAAUUUGGUCAGUCUACACUAACGGGACAAUAAGUUAAAGACAGAUGAUUAGCUUGAAUUUUUUUUAACCACUGCUGCCAUUUUUGUCUCUAUUUUUAGCUUGUUUGUAAAUACAUGUAUAGUACACAUGUACAAUAGUUGUAUGGAACACUAAACUCGCUGAACAAACAAUAUCAAUGUGGCUACUAUUGCUCUUCAUGCUUCUUCAUGGUGGCAGUGAAAGUCAGAAACCAUAUUGUAGGGCCAGUGGAACCAUUUGUAGAACUUCGCACUAGUCAUAUCAUGUUUGACAAUUUGUAUUUUUUUUUUUUGACGCCAUUGCAUUAUAGCAAAAUUUACUAUUUUAGUAAUCAUUGCAAAAUUUACUUACUUUUACAAAUGAAGACAUGUGCCUUUUAGAAGUACUAUUGCUAUCAGCAUAGUAGGAAGGUAUUAGCUCCUUGAACCUUGUAGCUGUUUAAUUUUUCAUAAUAUUGUAUGUUCCAUCUUCUCCAGAACUGAAGAAUAGAACAAGUGCUGUGAAGCCUGGACAGUCAGUAGGCACUGCAGCCAUUGGCGGUCCAUUCAAGCUUCUGAAUCAUGAUGGGAAGCCUGUCACCGAGAAGGAUUUCUUGGGGAAAUGGACUCUUCUUUAUUUUGGAUUCACACACUGUCCUGACAUUUGUCCUGAUGAGCUCCAGAAAAUGGCUGCAGCGAUUGACAAAAUCAGUAUGUUAAUUUGAUUCUCUUGUUCCUUGGAUACAAGUAUCUUCAUAAAUCGUGUUUUUGCUGUUUAUUGUCUAUAUCAAUAUGUUCCUGUCUUAAUAAUAUGUAUAACAACAUUGUUAUCUUGCAUAAAAUUGUCACCUAGAAACUAGAAGGCAUGUUAUUGUACCAAAGUAAUAUGGUAAAUGAGCCAGAGUGAAAUGUACAUACAACGGUACUUGGUGAAAUUUCCACUGAAAUGCCUAACUAGAGCUAGUAGUAGACAGUUUUAAUUAGUAUAGUUUCAGUCAUUACAAAUCUGCAAUUAUUUUGCAGAGGAAAAGGCAAAAUUGGAUAUCGUGCCAGUUUUCAUUACAGUUGAUCCUGAAAGAGAUACUGUUGAGCAAGUUCGGGACUAUGUUAAAGGUGUGUGUCUGUGCAUGUCCCUCAAUUCUUAAUGCUUAUCAUCACUUAAAAUUGUUGCCCUUUGAACUUUAUUUAGUUCAUUUUAUUCAUUAUUGAUGAAUUUUUGUGUUUUUCAGAGUUCCAUCCAGAUCUGAUAGGACUAACUGGCACGACAGAUGAGAUAAGACAAGUUGCACGUGCUUACCGAGUUUACUAUAUGAAGACAGUGGAGGAGGGUUCUGACUAUCUCGUUGACCACUCAAUUGUCAUGUAUGUUGGUCUUAAUCUCCCUCUCUCUUGAACAAUGACUUUGGCUAAUUUUUAUUUUGCUAAUGUUCUGCAAUCGAGUUGAUUCUAGUUCUAUUAUAUGUUGUUGCAUGAUCUGGCAUAUCUACAACUUGCACUAGCAAAAUGAAGAAACCAGUUAGUUUGGCUAUUGCAUUCUGAAUAUGUCUUGCAGGACUCCAGCGGGUAUCCAGUAGUAACUUGCGAUAUACACGUUUGGAUGCUUUUUAGAGACCCAAUACUAGGAAUGUCUCCCAAUCCCAAAUUAACAAAGUAGGUGGCAGUUAUUCUCUUAGAACUCAUAGGGAAGGUAGGAGGCUUCUCAUUUGUUAAUACUGGGCCUCGUUCCAUCAUAAUGAUACUGAGAAAGUACAUACAUUCUGAUUUGUUAGAUUCUCUGUCAGUUAUAUCUUAUAUCCCCUCUGAACUUAUUGUAACUGUAGAAGCUUCUGAUUUAUUCUGCCGGUGCCACUCGGCAAGUGAUACUGAGAAGAUACACAUACGCCCUGUCAAAACACUGACUGGUUGCUCAUCUACUUUCAGGUACUUAAUGAAUCCAAAGAUGGAGUUUGUCAAGUUUUACGGCAAGAACUAUGAUACAGAUUCCCUUGCUGACGGUAUCAUUAAAGAAAUUAAAGAGCACAAGUAGUUGAAGUGCCACUCAGCAAUGGCACCCUAGUUUUCUGAAUCUCUCCCAAGAAUUUUGCCCAAAGUCAACAAAGACCAAAUGAUGCUUAAGAUAUCUGGUCACUAGAGGUUUAGGAUAUUUGAAUCUCGAGGCAGUUUAUUGCAGCAGAUUCCGGUGCACGCUUUGCCGCACAGAUUCGGAAAUCUGCAAAUCUGUUAUUUUGUUAUAGUGAACAUCUGCUUUGGCGACUGGCAACGUUAAUUGCGGAACGUCAUAUACUUAAUUCUGAAUUAGAAAGCACUUGCUAUCGAUUCAAGACGGCUUUAUCCUUAUGCAGUGGUGCUUGAUGGGAUGUGCAAGACGAAUAGUGAAAUACCAGUGAGUGAUGCCAGAUGGUGCGUGCAGCCUCCUCACUUGUACUCGCUGCUUUUGCGGCUUCCGUUCAAAUACAGAAAAUAAACUUCCAUUUCCAUACAGAGGAGACACGGAUUGGUUGGUUAGUCUAAGGUUAGAUUGCCGUGUGUUAGCAGUUGUUAGCAGCAUCUGUAUGGCUCUUGCUUAUGAACUGUAUGUACGUCACUCAGCGGCAGACAUUCUAUGCUGGUCCACGAGUUGCACAAGUAGUCGCGCAAAACAAAACUGCACAUGGCGCUAUGGCCCCAGUGCUUGAAUUCACGCCUCGCCUUUCUUCUCUCCCAGCUCCCUCGCUCAAACAGCGCCAUGUUUGCUGCUGCCAGAGCUCAUCGUCCAGACUUGGGUUUGGGUUCAGCUCCCUCUCUAGCAGGCGCCCUAGGGAAUGCGCUCAAUGGCCGGCCGUCCCGUCUCCUCGUUGACGUCGACUGGCUGGAACAGCUCCAUCAGAUGCGCGCGUUGGAGCCUGCGCGCCGCUCGACUUCCACGGCGACAUCAACGGGCGCGAGAACCAGACGCCCCUCCGAACGCCGGCCGGUGGAGCAACGGCCUAGCUAGUUGGAAGCGACUGAACCGACGCCGCCUCUGCACCUGCAGCCGGCGGAGAGGCCACCAGCGACCUCCAGCAGCGCCGUCGCCGCUCGCCACGCGACGCCAGGAAGGGGAACGACCAGGUCAAAAGCUUAACCAGUCUGCUCGCAUGGAGGCUAGCACCGAAUCAGGCGUCGAGGAGCAUGAUGUCGGCAUCGGAUCGGAGAUGACGACGACGAAGAAGAAGGCAUGGAGUGGGAGUGCGGUGCGCCGUGGCCGCGCCGCGUGUUGACCAAUGCCAGGGCGCGAUGGUGUCGUGUCGGGGCUCCGAUUCACGGGCGGCAGGGCAGGCAAGGGCAGUCUGGCAAAGUGGAUUCGUUCGGCAAGAGGCGUGCGUCGAUGUGGUUUCGGUACUGACUGUUCUCCUACUCCUGCUUGUGGUGCCCAUGGCCGCUGGUAAACACAGUACCGGUACAUGAGGGACAACAGGAGAACCCGUCAAAGUGAGUCAGAAAUCUUAUUUUAUAAAAAACCUACCAUUUGAAGCCGAGAAAGUAUAUAUAUGUUCUGUUAAAAUUAAAACACUAACUUUUUUGCUCAUAUACUUUUCAGGCACCUGAUGAAUCCAAAGAUGGAGUUUGUCAAGUAUUAUGGCAAGAACUAUGAUGCAGAUUCCCUUGCUGACGGUAUCAAUAAAGAAAUUAAAGAGCACAAGCAAACAGUAGUUGAAAUACCACUCUACAUGGCCGCAUAGUUUCCGAAAAAUUCUCUAGAAAAUUUUGUCCAAGUAAACAAAGACCAAUUGACGCUCAAGAUCAUCUGGUCACUAGCUGCUGUCUCUUCAUUUCUGAGAAUUAGGAUAUUCGAAUCUUGAUGCAGUUUAUUUCAGCAGCCACAGUUUUGAAGCAAAAACUAUCCAACUCAGCCCAAAAAAAAUGCACGCUUUUUUAUUUUUUUUAUGGUGGAUUUCUGUGGGCCUGUUCGCUUCAGCUUAUAAGCCGGCUGAAAAGCUGCAACAGCUGAUUUGUUGUGAGAGAAAAAUAUUGUUUUGUGGCUGAUAAGCCGGUUGAAUAAGCUGAAGCGAACAGGCCCACACACAUCCAAUAUAAUGUUCAUUGGGGAAUGCCAUUUUUGGCAAAAGUGUCGCACCUAAAUUGGAAUUUCUACAGAAAGUAUUAAGCAUUUAAAAGAUCAUUUGUCUUUCAAGACUGUUGCCGGCGUCUGUUGAGUGUGGAAGCAGACUAAGGAUUGUUUGGUUAGUCUUGAUCAAUCGGUUUCGGUUAGAUACUUAGAUUACCAUGCGUCAGUAGCAUUUGUAUCCCUUCAAAUAUGUGAGCUAGCAUUUUGUACACUUGCUACACUGUCUCGAGUCCUGACACUAAAGCAGUUGUGCGCGAGCCGCGAGCACGUACGGUGCUGCAGCGCAUGCGGAUCAAGGAUUCCCUGCUGCGGCCGGAGUACUUCCUGCCGUCGCGGAACAUGACAUGCCGGCGUGUCCUGGCGAGCCGUCAGUGACGGUUUCUGGAGGCGGCGGGCUGAACGCCACCGUGUCGGGAACGUGCGUGACGCCGUUGUCCUGCGGCGGCAACGCCGAAGGCAGCACCCACGUCAUCGUUAGACGCCGUCGUGCACGUUCUGGAUAACCCAGGCGCGUCGACGAGCUAGCGGAGCGCCGAGUGGUUGGAUUUGGCUACACGUACGUGUAUCCUGUUGAGGGGGGAGAACAAGCCAUACCGCCGUCUCGAGGAGGAAGAAGCCAUGUCGCCGGCAAAUCGACGCCGUCUCGCCAGAUCACGGGCUCAAGCCGGUAGGUGCGGUGGAAUCUCGAGUUGUAGUCGUAGGCGCUCAGCGAAUACCCACGAUUCUCUUGGUCCGCGAUGCCAUCUUCCAAGAAGUAGAUCAAGCCCGCCCGCUGCUUCCGGCGCUCCUCCGGCACGCGGACGUCGGCGGAGCACCACCGCCCCACAAGCAGCGCCAUGCCGUCGCCGAAGACGAGGCACGGCAGCCGAGGGGGCGAGCGGUGCUGCGCCGCGGACGCGCGCCAGGACCGGCACAUGGCGCCGAAGCAGAUGCGGUCGGCGUACGACGGCAGGCGGAGGAGGACCUCGCCGGCGAUGUCCAGCGGGAGGGCCGGCCAGGGCGAGCACACGGCUUCUUGCGCCGCCUUGGCGCCAUCAUCGUGCCGACUUAUUGCGUAUAGAUCGAUUGGUGUCACGACUGAGUAGUAUCUCUAGUCGCCGUGUCUUCUCUGUAUAUAACGAGAUCAGAUGCGUGCCUUCGCGCCACCAUGGCACCGUAUCUGGCUUCAAGCUCGGAAUCCGAAUUUGCCGCACGCUCGGUUUUCGGCCGCGCUGAGGACAGGUGGGCUACAUGGGCUGACGAUUUGUUACUUGGUCGGGGCCUGUGCACCGCGCUGGCGGGCCUACGUCGUCGUCGGAAGAUUUUCAAAUUCAAGCUUAACAACAAGCAGCUAGUAGUAAAAUUUUCUGCCAAUCAAUGUCGGUUUUCUUUCCGAUAAGGAUGUAACACGUAACGUCACAAAUAAAUAUUUUAAAAACAAAUUGAGAAGAAGAAAAUGACUGAAAAAAACA